AUGUACCAGUUAUUUGAGUCUAUAAAAUGUUAUACUCAAUAAUAUGCAUUCAAAACCUUUGUUUGUACUUACUACUAAUUUUUCCCGACUGCACCCUCCCCAUCCCCGACACCAAACCAACAUGACUCAUUCAAAUUUCGACUAAAUAAAUGAAUAGAACGAAAAUAAAAACUCCCAUAGACCAAAAGCGCCAAUCUUAAUGAUUCAAACCCGACUCAAAAACCAACCUUGCUGACAAUAAUUCAACGAAGGAUAUCAACCACUCAAUAACGUAGCAACAAAACAACCUGGAGACUAGGACUAUGAGAGAGUAUUGAUAAGAGUGGCACGAAGGUCAACCACCAAACUUUUCCAUAUUGCCUUGUCGAAAAUAUGAACAUAUCAUAAUCAAGCAGAUGAAGGAAGCUCUUCGACUUUCUUUUCUGUAUCUUCCUUGCUAUCUUUUUCUGGUGUCCCUUUCUCCUUAGUUUUCUCCUCAGAUUUCUCUAUAUCUUUCUUUUCUGCAUCUGCUUUCCCUUCAACACUCAAAUUCUAUUAGCCGGUCUCGGAAGAUAGGUGAUCAGGCUAUUAGGUGACAAAACUUCCACGUCAAGUGAAAGUUAGGUGAGGUUAGAACAGUCGAGCAACGGAGAUGAUUCUUUCUCAAUGCUACUAACUCGGUACGUGGGUCAUAAAGGCCUCAUAAAAUAAGUUAAACAUAUUGGGACUCCAUAAUGAUGCAAGAUAUCCAUGUUCCCUAUUUUUAGCACGCUAAUCAAUUAAAGGAAUGAGUGAGGAGACAUGAUUUUCAUUGUGCUACACACUAAUUAGGAUCUCGACAACAGAUCACCACAAGGAGAGGAGAUUGAAGUUCAACAUGUUUUUCAACUAAAGGUGAAAACUCUGCAACAUUUACUUAAUAAAAUUAAGUUCAGUCUUUUUGGUGGUUAAAUCGAAAUAUGUUACACUCGUUUUCAACUAUCUUCAUAUGUGUUUGAAGGUGGUUACUUAGAACGCUUUCAUGUUUCUUUUUGUGUCUGCGGACUUUGGUUUUUUGUUGUAAUUGUGUAAACUUUUGAUUUGUUGUUUUCGGCUACAUCUUGUGUCGAGAGGACAUGGUGCGUUAUUUAAUAUAGUUUUAUUUUUGCUUCUUUAAAAAAAGUCUUAGGUUUUUAGCAUAUACUCGUAUUGUUUUUAUAGGGCAUGAAAUAAGUUUAUUCCUUGCAUUGCAACAUAUUAUUUUUUCUAACUACAAUUUAGCAAGACAAAUAAUAUUCAAAUAAUGUUAAUUUACUUUUCUAAAAAAACAUUAUUGCAUUUGUAUUUGUUUUCCCAAAUGGCAAUUGCCUUUACCGUAUUAAACAAAUCAUUAUCAAUUUAAAUAUGCACAUUCGGAUGGUUCCAUUUAAGGUACUCUUUUCUCUUAAUAUUUUCAUCAUUGAUUGGAAUAACAUGAACAUUAAUGGACAAAUGGAUAGUUGAGUAGUCUUUUAGGAGGGAUCAACCCUAGACUCUAUAUUGUCUCUUUUGCGAAUGUAACUUUAUGAGAUCAUGUUGAUUAUAUAUUUGGGAUUUAAGAUAGAAUUUUGCAUGUUUCUAUAGUUGUUAACAACCAAAUGGGCAUGUUGAGUUGGUUAUAUUAUGAGCAUGACUUAAUAUGAUAGUUGUUGAUUUGUAUCGUUAUACUAUUAUUUAAUUGAUGAGAAUCAUUUGUUGUUAUGAAAAUGUCUUUAUCAUGAAUGUAUGGGUUUAAUGGUGGAGGAGUAAUCCUUUAUAAAGUUGAGUUAGAAGUGAAGUUUUUUCCUUUUCCUUUUUAAAAUGACGGAAACUUUCAAAAUUUAGGAGUGUCUAGAUUUUUAUAACGUUCUAUCGAGUCCCUUUUCAGAUUUUGCAAUGGUAUAUCUUAGAUAUGACCCAAAUCACUAAAUGUGACAACAAUAAUUUACAAAGAAAAAGUAGGUAUUUGCACGAAAACCAAAGCAACAGAGAGAUAAAGUAAAAAAUAAUGUGAGUAUGAGAAAGAAAGUUAUCACAAAAUGGAUGUUCAAAUAUCAAUUUUCUUCUUUUUAUCCAACAAUUAUAUAUUUUCUUGUUGUUCAUGAUAUUGAUGUUUCUUUUUGUUUUGGCUAAGUAGUCUAAAAAUUCAUCUUUAAGGUGAAUAAGUAGGGUGUUCUGGUUCGAACCAUAGCUCAAUUGUAUAUUAUGUAUUAUCACUUACUAAUUGAGCUAUGCUAACAAGGACCAUGAUAGUGAUGUUUAUCCUUAUUCAUAAUGGUUACGAAUUGACAAUCAUAAAAGCGAUAUUUUGAUUUAAUUAGUGAUUGAAAAAUACUUUUUAAAUACGAAUUUAGGAUAAUUUGGUUGUUGAUACUAAAUGGUAAUAAUAGAUUUUUGUCAGAUAGUAAUACCAUCAUACUAGUUAAUUGGAUGAGGAAUCAUAAGUUAAUUAAUAUGAUAGAUCUCUUAUCGUUUGUUGAGAACGGAAACAUAUAAAGAUUAACAUGUGAAGAUAUGAACGAUAAUUUAAUGGAAAUUGCUAAAUCUAGCGAGAAACUGUAACAGCGAAGCCUUCACGAAUCAUUUUUCAGUGUAAUUUUUUGUUUCUCUCUCCUAACUGCCGUCUCUCUAUUGUGUUUAUUCUGCCAAAGCAAGUCUUUGAUUGGAUAAUUUUUAUUCGGGAUAAAUUCGUGAGGUUUUCUUUCCUUGAAAUAGCAUUGCUCUAAUUUGAUAUAUGUAAUUGAUCGCGGGGAUACAUUAAAAGUAGUUUAUGAAGUUUAAUUGCACAAAAGAUCUACUUAUUUGUUAAUUUAUUCCAUUUUAUCACGAGAAAUUCUUGCUUGGUCUCUUAUCUAAGAGGUCAUCUUUAGUGACAACCAACAAAAACAAGACAAGUAAUAAAAAAUUGAAACAAGUUGAUUCUCUCUCCUAUUAUCUAUGAAAAGCAUCUUCAAAACCGUCUGGCCACCACACACUCAUAUAAAACCUCCGGAAAACUUCCACCACUAGCACAUAAAGAGCAAAAAUACACACGCCUGAGUUAAUUUAUUAUGGCUGAGUUAAUGUCACAUUUGAAACAUAUCAAAGGCCAAUGGAGUUUUUUCAACAAAAAAAUAAAAAUAAAAAUGAAGGAUAAGUCUACAAACAAAUUAAAAAUAACAGGCAUUAUUCAUGCUUGAGCAGCAAUGAUUUGGGCAAUUUUGACAUCACAGAACAUAUUGUUUGGCCGAGCGAACUUGGGCACUUUUGAAGUUUCGAAUUCGUUGGUAAUGGAGUUUUCGACAACAAUGACUCUAAACUAAAGUACUAUAUCUAUAUGGCACUGUAUCAGUGGAGGAAGAGAAACAAUGAUUUCAAUUUUCAUUUAUUUAUUUUUAAUUUAGGACAAAUGAUGUGUCAUGUUUUUGUUGGUUGUGACUAAAGAUGACGUGUUAGGUGAGAGACCAUGCAAGAAUUUUUCUUAUCACUUUUUAGUUUGCAAAAAACCAACUUGCCAAAACCCUAUAUAGAACGAUAUAAAAAAAUACUUAGAUACUACUAAUCAAAUAUCAAAUAAUAUUCAUUUUUGUGCAAUUUUCAUAUUUUAUGGAACGGGUUGCAUUAGAUAGAACCACAGUUGACAAUAAAACUCUUUACAGGCUAUGUUGAACUACCGUAAUUAAUAUACCACCAGGCCACUUGGGUUGGUUUGGUUGUAUUGACUAAUGACCUGAAAGUGUGUUUCUCCCCAAGGUCUCAGGUUUCAUUCUCAUUAGGUGGACUAAUUUAACUUCUUCAAUAUAUAUAUAGACACACACACACCCACACAUUGGUGUCUGACCAAGUCAGAAGUCCAAUAUUGGUGUCUUAUAAAAUUUUAAUAAGAUUGUGUUUCAUCCUCAUUACGUAUCUCACUAAGUAUAUAAUAUAACUUUUGAUUUUUUCGAUCAACUUUGUGAUUGCAUUUAAGAAUAUAAAUAUUUUCAUAUUGUAAUUUGUAUCUAGAAUUCUAGAUGUAAUUUCUCAUUCACCAAGAGAGGUGGUCAUUCUCCUUCAAGACAAUCCUACAUAGCGUUGGAACCAAAAGGAAGAGACCAUAGACAUUGACCAACAAUAAUGAUUAUAGGUGUUCUUAAAAAACUCAAACAUGUAUUGCUUGAAAACGUUGUGUGUUAACUAUUUAAGAUUCUCAUCAACAAUGGUAGUUUGAAAAGAUGAUAUUAAAACUUCAAUAAGCCUAUUGGUUAUCAAUAACUGCUGAAACAGAGUCUGAACUUUGUGGUUUACAUGUAUAAAACCACUUGAUUUAGUGUAUUGAUGCAUAUUUGUAUUCCCAUCUUUAAUAUUAUCAUGAAGUCUCAACUUUCGUUAAGUAUUAUUUAGUUGAUUAAAACUACUUAUUUACUUAUCUCUAUUUUUUAUUUAUGUAGGUUAAACAAUGGUGACCUUUAUCACGAUCUGGGAUGGACAACCGUCCAAUACCACAUACUUAAAUGAGCAUCAAUUUUUAAAAUUAUAUUUAUAGUCUGUUUGUUUUGAAUUUAAGAAAGUUAUUUUAUUUGUAUUUAUAAAAAUAUUUUUUUAUGAAAACUUACUCAAAAAUAGUAUAAGCUAUUUUCAAUUCAUAUUUUAAUUUAAAAGAGUAAUUUUUAUAUUCAUUGUUAGAGAUUUAAAAUAAUUAAAAUGACAUUUAUUUUGUCAAAAAGAAAUGACAUUUUUUCAAAAGGAUAUCUGUCAAACAUGAUUUUUAUGAGAAUCUACUCAAAGUUUUAUUAUCCAAAAAAAGUUGUACGAAAAUGAUGAAAUAUUUAAAAUGAACGAUUUCUCAUUUGAAAUUUCUUAAAAAAUCUUUGUUAGAAAAGUUAUAACAAAAAGAUGAAACCCUGUAAAAAUAUUAUUUUUUUAAAAUAUAACAAACGAGAACGUAAUAUGUAUAAACAUUUAGAGGAGCACAUAUAUGUUAAUAGAUCUAGAGUUAUAAAUAUUGAUACAUGUGAAUUCCCAAAAGUGUCUUCAUUUUUACUUGUGUGCAAUAAGAAGAAAGAAAAUAAAAUAUAAACGAAUAGAUGAAGACCAUGCAAACAAUUAAUAUUUAUAAUGUUCUCCACCUAAUGAUAUAAUUGCUUAUUUGUUCAUAAAAUAUUGGGAUGUUAUAAAAAAUAUUAUUUUAUAAAAAUCAUUUUUUUAUAUAUAAUAGAUACAUAGUAUGUAAAUAUAAUAGUGAUUAAAAUUUACAAUCACUUUGUAUUACUUACAUAUAUAAUAUUCAUUCUCACAUGACAUACAUGACUCUAAGACAAAUAUUUAAUAACUCAAGAAGAAUGAGGGAUGUAGUUGGUGGUGCUCUUUGUGAGUGAAAUGAAUGACUCCAAGAAUCGAAUUUAUAUAUAAUUUAUAAAAAUCGAAUUUAUGAAUGUUCAUAAAAUAUUGGGAUGUUAUAAAAAAUAUUAUUUUAUAAAAAUAAUUUUUUUAUAUAUAAUAGAUACAUAGUAUGUAAAUAUAAUAGUGAUUAAAAUUUACAAUCACUUUGUAUUACUUACAUAUAUAAUAUUCAUUCUCACAUGACAUACAUGACUCUAAGACAAAUAUUUAAUAACUCAAGAAGAAUGAGGGAUGUAGUUGAUGGUGCUCUUUGUGAGUGAAAUGAAUGACUCCAAGAAUCGAAUUUAAUUCAUGAGAAUGAGGAUAAAUCAAUUACGUGUGAUUUAUCUAGUAUUUAAAAUUGUGUUUUUAUUAUUCCUUUAAUUGAUUUCCGUAGUACAUAAAUUUCGGUUUACACUUAAAAUUAACAUCUUGUUAGUUAAACUCGGUAGAUAGGUGAUUAGACUAUUAGGCGAUGAAGCCUCCGUGUAGAGCAAAAGUUAGGUUACGCCAGAACAUUUAAGUGAGGGAGAUGAUUCUUUCUCAAAGAUACUAACUUGGUAUGUGGGUCUUCAAAUCCUCAAAGAUUGAGUUAAAACAUAGCGAGACUAAGCAAUGACAAAAGAAACCCAUAUUCCCUCUUUUUAGCACCACUAACCAUUUUAAUGGAAUGAAGGAGAAAACAUGAGAUCUUAAUGGGGCUACUCACUAAGGAAGUUAACACACAUAACCUGCAAAUUUUCGUUGAAUUAUUUUCAAAUCAUAUACUAUAAUUAGACACAUCCAAUCAAUCGAGCAAGAUUUUUUUUCGCUUUUUUAUUCGUUUACCUUUCUAAUUUUAUCUUUAUUUUAAUGCAUUUCUUAGUUUACCUCAAAAAACCCAAAAAAAAACUCAAACAAUUGUACCCAACAUAACUCUAAUCCAGAAAAUUUCAAAUUAUCUAUCUGAGGCAUUGUGAUCAAAAUCAGUGAUUACUAAAACUAGAGCGAGAAUAGUACGAAAAUACAUGAAUAGAGUGAGUUAUGUACCAGUGAUUUGAGUCUAUAAAAUGUUAUACUCAAUAAUAUGCAUUCAAAACCUUUGUUUGUACUUACUACUAAUUUUUCCCGACUGCACCCUCCCCAUCCCCGACACCAAACCAACAUGACUCAUUCAAAUUUCGACUAAAUAAAUGAAUAGAACGAAAAUAACAACUCCCAUAGACCCAUAGACCAAAAGCGCCAAUCUCAAUGAUUCAAACCCGACUCAAAAAACCAACCUUGCUGACAAUAAUUCAACGAAGGAUAUCAACCACUCAAUAACGUAGCAACAAAACAACCUGAAGACUAGUACUAUGAGAGAGUAUUGAUAAGAGUGGCACGAAGGUCAACCACCAAACUUUUCCAUAUUGCCUUGUCGAAAAUAUGAACAUAUCAUAAUCAAGCAGAUGAAGCAGGCUCUUCAACUUUCUUUUCUGUAUCUUCCUUGCUUUCUUUUUCUGGUGUCUCUUUCUCCUUAGUUUUCUCCUCAGAUUUCUCUUUAUCUUUCUUUUCUGCAUCUGCUUUCCCUUCAACACUCAAAUUCUCAAGGAGAUCAGCAGCAGUGGAUGCAUCCUUGCUUUCCUCUUUGUUCAGGGAUUCAGCAAUUUCUUGAAAUGUCUCUAUGAACUUUCUGCAAUCUAACAGUAUGGUGAAGUAACAGUUAGUAUAUGCCAUAAAAUUAUUGCCAAUUAAUCGGCUAACAGAACAAUAUAAGCCUGAAAGAGUGAAAUGUUUGCAAUUGAAUGGAAAGACAGAAGCAAUGAACUUAAAUAUGAGCACUAAAUCAUUCUCCUGGAUAAUGCAGGUAUAUAAAAUAUUAUCAUCAUUUAAGUGCCACAGGAUCAUGUUACGUAAAAAAAACUGUCUCUCCUAUCCACAAAAUACUACUACUUAACCCUGCCCAUGAUAAGCAAGGACAAACACUUAAAAUACCUGUACAAUAAUUUUGUUAGGUAAAGUACGAUUAUUAGCCCUUGUACUAUAAGUUGGAAUUCCAUACCAUAAGCAUCUAAAAUUAAUUCUUCCAACAUAACUUCAUUUAACAAGAAUUAUCUUACAGUCAAACUCAAGAAGAACCGAAACUAAACACCACUGCCAUUUUUUAUAUAAAACAGAGAAAUAGAAAACACCAAUAAAGAAAAGUCUAUCAUCAAACAUGUCAAACACAAUGGCACAACUCUAACACUUACUGUUGCCAAAAAUCCAAAUGAACAAGUGAAGCACAUUAACAGACAUAAACAAAGGAAUACAUGUAAAAGCUACUCUAAUAACCCAUCUAAGCAUCAGCCUGAAGCACGCUCCCAACAAGAUUUUUAUGAAAUAGCACAAAGAUACAAAACCACAAGUUCAUCUUAAAAUUGUGUUCAGAGCAGAUAACUCUGAACAUUUCAAAAUCAUAGUUCCAAUUUCCAUAUUCAACACACCCAAAAAGUAAACUAAAUGUUACAUACAAACAAAUACUUAGGUUGCAGCUGGCUAGUAGGUGCAGAACAAACAAUUUGCUUAGUUGGCUAAUUACUAACACUUAAAAUAACAAAUACUAAUACCAGCACCAAAUUCGGUGAGUUAAGCCAAUUUAACUUAGAUUAAUCAGUGCAACACCAAGGAAUGUCAAAUAAAAAUCACUCAUAAAACAACCAGGGGCGGAUCCAGCCCUAUGUGAGGGUGUGCACUUGCACACCCUGAAUUUUCAAAAACUACACCAGUAAUCUAUGUUUGUAUGCUUUUUGCACACCGUGAGAUUUUGCUUUUGCACCCUGACCCAGAGACCGAGAGAAGUGAGUUCAUUUGCAGUCACAUAAAAGAAAGAAAGCAAACUAGAAUAUAAAGAAAGAAUUGAUGUGCAACGGCGAGAAAACGAGAACGAGGCAUAUGCUGAAGAGCAAGGAGAACGGGGUAUACGCUGAAGAGCAAGAAAUGGGUGGCGGCCAAUCAAAACUCAAUAAACUUGCAUUAUUUAGAAUUUCCUAUAACCCGUUUUGGCAUGGGCUCUUCAAUUUAUGGCCUCAUUCUAAGUUCAAUGGCCCAGUUUCAAGUUGAGUUUAAAAUGUUGACAUAUUUGGUCAAGUUAAUUUAGAUAGAAGCACACAAUGGUUUUUAUUGAUAUAAACAAUGUCAUAUAUUAUUCUCCUAAAAUGUGUUUUAUAUAUAAUCAUACACACCUUUUAAAAAAAAUAAUGAUAUAAUUAUACAAAGACAACUCUAAAAUUAAUUGCUACUAUCGCCUAAUUUAAUUGUGUUUGAUAUCGUAAGCUAUACGUGCAACUAUAGAGCCUGACUUUAUAACCUCAAGAGAUAAUAUUCAAAUUUUACCCGAGACAAUUGUAAAAUGGUCAUUAUUAUUACUUUUUUUUGUUAUAAAGUAUUGUCUAAUGGCAUCAUUAUUAAUAUUUUUCUUUUUUUGCUAAUAGUCACCAUUAUUAAUAAUAAUUUUUCAUUCCCUAAUUUUGUUUUAAAAUGUUGAUUUUAACGAUUUUAAAAUAUAAAUUGCGUAAAAGUUAAUUAUAAAUUGUGUUUGCAAUUUAUUAGUUACAUAACAUAAACAAAAUUAUGUUUAAUAUUGCGAAGAAAAUAAUAGUAAUUUAUUAAGAUAUAAACAAUCUGCACCACCGGUCCAGGGUCCUGAAUACGCCACUGAAAACAACCUUAUUUGAAUAAACAAUUUAUGGCAUAAGCGCUUAUCAAAUAAGUGCUUAUGAAUAAACUAUUUCUUUAACAAGAUAAAAUAGAGUCAAAAUAUUUAUGUAUAACCUAUUAAGCUGUUUUCACGAACUAUCCUGGAGUGCUUAUAAAAAUAAACCGAAAACAACUAGUGAAUAUGUUGAUUGUUGUUUUCAUAUGUUCUCUCAAUCUCACACAAGUGAAUAUGUCAGUAUUUAAGUUCAAACAAGUUGAUACAAAUAAGCACCAAGUCUGAACACAGUUUACAAAUAAUGCAAUUUGAAUAAGAAAUAAGAAAAAAGAAAAAGGAUUAAAAGAAUGUUUACUUUCAAUUGACGCAAAUCGAAUGCAGAAAAACUCGUCUUUCAAUUCACCAUCAGCAAAGUCCUUCGCGUGCCAAACACAAGAUUUCUCAUUCCCAGCAUGCUCUUGCACAGUCAUUUUAGGCAAAACUAACCAAAACAAAACAAUCAAACACAAAAAAUACCAUCAAAAACCAAUCAAAAAUCAAAUAAAAAUUCUAAUUUUGUAGCACUAACCAUCACAACACUGACACAUGCGUUUACACUCAAUUUUGCCAUUUUCUCAAAUUUUCAAUGGUGUUAACAUGUCAGUGUUGUGUCAGGUGUAUGUGAUACAUAUAAACAAAAUCGAUAAAUUAUCAAAGGUGAAAGUCCGGCACCGACACAUGUGUUUACGUUCAAUUUUGUCAUUUUCUCAAAUUACUGCCAAUGUCAAUGAUUCAAAAUCAAUACUUACUGAGAUGAUUAGCACAGAUCUUAAGAGUCUUUGAUUGUCUCAUAACAAGCCUAACUUUUCCAGUAACCUUAUGCUUCAAAAACUUAACAGUUCCUGCCCCUCGUUCCUUCCAUUGAUUCCCUACCUUGUCAAAUCGGUACAGUUUCGCUUUUCUACACACAAAUCACAAACACAUCACACAAAAAUCACAAACACAACACAAAAAUAGAAGAAAAAAAUUGUACAAAAGAUCACAGACACAACACAAAACUACACAAUAAAAGAAUAAAAAACAUCACACACACCAAAAUCACAAAAACGUUGCAAAAAUCACAGAAACAUCACAAAAACAUCGCAAAAAACACACAAAAUACAAGAAUCGCAGAAACAUGACAAGAAAACACAAUCACAAAAUCCCAAUAUAAUCACUUGAUAAAAAAUCACACAAAAAACGCCAAAAAUCACAGAACAUCAAAAAAUCACAACAAAAUCAUAAACUACCAAAAUUCACAACAAAAUCGCACAACUUUACCGAUAUUCACAAUAAAAUCACAUAAAAUUUACCAAAAUUCACAACAAAAACACAAAACUUACACCAAAAACAUCGUAGAAACCACAAAAUCACAAAAUUAUAGAAACUAACAAAAAAAAAGUAGUUGGAGUGAGAGAGAGUAUACAGGUCGAGAAUAGCUUCUUCAUCUUCUUCACCAGUAGAAACAGCGACUUCAUGAAGUUGGAUGAUCGGAGCGAUUUGAGCGCCGGUGUCUUCUUCAUCGCCGGCGGGAACAUCUUCCUCUUCGUGAUGAUCGGUGCUUGUAGACAUUUUUUUAGAGAGAGAAAGUGAUAAAGGGUUUGUAGAGAGAGAAAGUGAGUGUGAAGGGGUUAAUAGGGUUUUUAGGUUUAUAUAAUAGGGGAGAGAGAGUCAUGAAUCGUUGUAAAGUUUAAGCAGUGUUUUGGGUUGAAAUCGGAUGGGUGACACGUGUUAAUUAAUGAAUGGUUGAGAUUUGGUUGUGUAUUUUGAAGAGAGGGAAGUUUUUUGUUUUUUGAGAAGUCUGUUAAAUGAGAAAAAAAAAGAGGAAAGUUUAAUUGAGGUUUUUGGUUGCGUUUUUUUUUUUUUUUUAUUUUGGUGGCCGGAGUUCAAACUCCAAACUAUGUAUUGUUCCUACUAAUUGAGUUAAGUUCAAGAGGACAUAUUUUUUGUUGCAUUUAAAAAGAAUUGGUACAUCAUGGGCGCGUAAAGUACAAGUACCAUACGAGUACUAGUACCCACGGAGUACCCGACACGAGUACGUUUAGUAAAUUGUAGUACCCAUGCUUCAGAGGGGCCGAUGUUCACGACAGUUUUCACUCUAUGGCACUCAUAAUUACCCAAAUAAAUUAGUAAAUAAAUAAAUAAAUGAAAUGUGUGGCAUAGCCAUCAAAAGAUGAACGAAUGAUAGAAAUUGUGGAUAUGCUUGUAUGAAUGAUAAAGAAGGUCUCAUGAGAACAUGAGUUUCAUCAAUUAGAUUAAGAAAAUGUGUGGCAGGAGUAUUAUAAAUCUUUUUUUAGUUCUGUAGUUUAGUGGCUAGAACUCACACAAUUAAAUUGAGGAGAAGUGGAGUGUCCGGAGUUCGAACCCCGGCCCCUACAUAUAAUAUGCAAUAUCUCUACCAACUGAACUAGGCUCAUAGAAAUUUAUAUGCAUAGAGGUGUUGCUGAGAUGCCCAUUCAGGUUCAUAUGAAAUAUUGGCUUUAACCUUUUUGUGCACAUUGCUAGGAAUUAUGACAAAAAUACCAAGAGAUAUAAAUGCAAAGGAUAUUUUUCUUGCAAUCAGCACCAUGAUGAGAAACAAACCGAGCUUUACACUCUUUGCAUACACAACAAUCCACCAUGGCCACGUAUAAAAAAUUUCACUUGUUGACACAAUGCCUUCAAUAGUAAUUAUAUGCACCAAGGUUUGGUUUCUCUCUCACACUUGUUGGAGUAAAUAACAAGCUUGACCAAUAUUACUUAUUUUGACUUAUAUAGAGAGAAAAGAGUACCAAGAGAUAUCAUAGUUCCAAUAAUUCUCAUCUAAGAAUUUUCGAGCCUUAUCAAGUUUAUCUUUCAUGUAUCCAAGUCCUUAUUGUGUAUCUUGAAAUAAGUAAAAAUAAGUCCUUAAGGCAUCAAACAUAGCUAAGAUAAACAAAUAAUGAUACAUUAACAACCAAUCCAUUCCCAAAAUUAACACAUUCCCUACUUGAAAUAAGUAAAAAUAAGUCCUUGAGUCAAAGUGAUUAUGGUAAUAGUCUCGGUUGAUUAUGGUGAAAAAGGAAAGGAAAAAAAAGAUGGAGAAAGACAUAUUCCCUACGUCAUAAAAUAUAAGAAAAAAAAUCAAUACGCUUAAUAAAUAAGAUAAAACAUAAUAAUUUGGUGAAUAUUUUUUUUUUGUUCUACUUGAAAUAAGUUUCACAAGAAAAAGUAAAAAUAAUUUUCAUUGGUUAUUGAUUAUGGAGAAAAUAGGAGGGAGACUUUUUUUUUAGGUAGUGAAAUAGGAGGAAGAGUUAAUUAAGUACAAUUUGUAAUUAAUUUCAUAAAAAUAAGUACAAAUUUAUUUUGGAAAAGAUGAUUUGUCCGUAAACAACAUGAUUAAAUAGGGUAAAAGCUUGUCUUUUUUGCUUAUGAUUUGAGACGCAAGUAGAAAAAUGCUCUUCUCCCAACAAAAAAUGCUCACUUCCAACCCAACUUUCCAAAAUACCCAUGCGUGAGUAUUUUUUGAUGGUAGAAGAUGACUUAAGAUAGGAAAAACUAAAAAAGGAAGUAUCAAACGCAAGUAAUUAAAUUGGGUCGUGUCAUUCAUAUGGGCUAUAGGUGCAAAAUCUUUUGACUAGACGCAUUAUAAAAAACCAUGAGGUUAAAUAUAAAAAAUUAGAAAGUUCAAAUAGAAAUAAACUACACGUAACAUGUGCAAAUUUUGAAAAUCGAGGGGAUGCAUCUGCAUGCCCUCACUUGUAUGUGGCUCUGCCACUGAAUGUAAGGACACUAAUACAAGAAAAGUACAAGUUCGCCACACACCCACAUUUACAAUAUCAACAACUUCUAUAUGACGAAAAAGGGUUAAAGUUAUUAUUUGGCGACUUUGGUGGUGGUGGCGACGGAACGACAAAGCCACCUAUGAGUUGGAUGUUCGUUGCUUUAAAGGUGUGAUGCGAGUCCAAAGAGUUUAAACUUUUCACAAAUAUUGCAGGUCGUGGAUUUUUUUGCAAAAUCACAAAAUCGACAUCAUCGUCAAAACAUGUGUCCUUUGAAUGAGGCAUAAAAGAUGCCAUCAUUCAUGCUUGAAACACCAUAAUCUUUGUCACCACAGAUUUUCCUGUCUACCUAAAAUCACUUUCAAUAGAAAGGAUCCAAUAGUAAUCAUGAAUUGACGGGAAUGAGAACAAUAAUGAAAACACCAACAACUAGGACUUAAGUCCAUAAGGAGAGUCCAACACAAAAGACAAGUUCUUUAGAUAAGAGAGCUGCAUGGCUUAAGUAUUACAUUAAACACUUUUGUAUAGUAGAUGUGUGACUCUUAGCAGAUUUCUAUCUAUAGUAUAAGUUUAAAUCAACACUAAAUAAUAUAAAGGAGUCCUUGGUUUAAGAGCUUGUCUUAUUUAUUCAAAAUAAGAGGUCAAAAUUUGCUUACAUAGUUUCACAUGUACAAAGGCCGACCUAUAAUCUUAUGCAUUGAUAACAUGCUAAUUAUAUUUGAUUACAUGGAUUAAUAAUAAUUGGGAGACAAACGAGGUUUGAUGAGAACUUCAAGAGGAGUAACUUUGAUGUUGGUUGUUUCCACAACAGCCGUCAUAUCAAUUGGCUCAUUUGAGGUUUUUGAAACUUCAAAGGAGUGAAGAAAAUUUGCAAGUGUCAAAUAAGCACUUCGAAGGGCAAAGGAUAUUCCAGGACACAUCCUUCUUCCACUUCCAAAUGGUAAAAGCUCAAAAUGAUUACCUCUAACAUCAACAUCUUUAUGAGUUGUAAGAAAUCUCUCAGGUUUGAACUCCAAUGGAUCCGGCCAAACACUAGGAUCAGUUUGGAUCUUCCACAAGUUUGUAAAUAGUCGAGUUCCUUUCUUUACAUCGUAGCCACCAAUCUGGCAAUCUUCUCUAAAUUCUCGUAUUCCUGAAAGAGGUGAUGCUGGAUAAAGUCUUAGCGUUUCUUUGACAACUGCUUGAAGGUAUACCAACUUGUUAAUAUCUGACUCAAGAAUGCAUAGUCUCUCUUUUCCAAUGUGGAGAUCAAUUUCUUCUUUAACUUUUUCCAGUGUAUGAGGAUUGUUCAAUAAUAGGCACAAAGCCCAUGUGUGUGUAACACUGCUAGUGUCUGUUGCUCCCAGAACUAGUGCCUGCAAGUUAAGCAUAAUAUUUUCAGUAUUUGUAAAAUUUAUUUGCAUACAUCUAAUAUAAUAUAGACAAAAUUACUCUCCUGCUCCAUUGACUCAAUUUUUGUUUGAACCACAAAAUUUAUUAAAAAUCACGUCCCUGCCCAAAAUGAAAGAGACUGGAAGACUAAAACUACAAAACAAAAACGUCAUAUAUAACAUAAGCACUAACAUACACUCAAAAGAAAAAUCAUAACAACAUCAAUACAAACACCUCCUAAAUUGAGGAGCACCUCCAAACCCGAUAAGAAAAUCUAACAUCCAAAACCAAAUUCAACACCUAAACACAAAGCUAAACCCCCACACUUCCUAUGACCACCGAAAGAAAUCGAAUCGCCUAUCAUCAGUGGUUCACCAUAACCCCUCUAAAAAUCAUUCAACCGAUAAAAACUCAAAAAUAAAACAUCAACUUCUCAUCAUCAGUAAUCACAUUUGAGCCCAAUUAACCAUUGAACACUAACUUAUUCCAACACCCCCUUAACUCAAUUUGUUAUAAUGAUUUGAACUUUAAUAUUUUUUUCACAUCAUUUACUCAUGUUUGCAUAUGGAUUUUCAAGCUUCUAACUCGAUGAUUUUCUUUUAGAGUAUAACUUGUAUUUAAAAUUGAGAGAACUCAAGAAAAGAAACCAUAGAUUUAAAUCUUAACCAUAUGCAAAAAUGGUUGAAUGCCGAAAAUAAUAUGAAAAAAAGAGAUAAAAACAAACAAGAUAAUUACAAUUAAGUCUCAAGACCACAAGAGUAAUUUUACCUAUAAUUUAUGAGUAUUUUCGUCAUUGAAAAGAACAUAUAAAUCAUACAUUGAAAUGUUGGUACUAAUCUAAAUUAAAUCAUUUUUUUAAGCAAUUUAAAAAAACUUAGGUUAAAUAUGUUUUAGUCCUUACAUUUUACGCCUCUUUGAAGAAUAAUCCUAUAUUUUAUUAAAUGUUUUUUAAAUCCUUAUAUUUUAUAUGCGUUAUAAAAAUUAGUUCCUAUUGUUAAUUCUCCAACGGAAUGCGGAUGUAGCAGUUAGUGGGUCCAAAUUAUUUUAAGGUUAAAUAUGUUUUUGGUCCCUACAUUUUGCGUCACUUUGAAAAAUAGUCCUUACAUUUCAAUAAAUGUUUUUAAAAUCCCUAAAAUAAUAAGGACUAAUUGGGACCCACUAACUACCACAUCAGCAUUAACCCGUUAGAGAAUUAACAGCAGAGACUAAUUUUGAUAACAGAGAUAAAAUAUGAGCAUUUCUAAAACAUUUAAUGAAAUGUAAGGACUAUUCUUCAAAAGAGCGCAAAAUGUAAGAAUUAAAAACAUAUUUAACUUAAAAAUCUUUUAUAAAUUUAGAUUUCACAUUCUAAUAUAAUAAUAUCAGAUGGUAUUUGAGUGACAUAGAAUAGAUGAUAUUGCUCGUACAAAUGGUUUUUUUCUCUCUCUUUUAUAAGAAUUGAUAUUGUGAUUGAUCAAUAUUAUCAAUAUCACUUAUUCUAUGUUACUGAAAAGCGACCCACUAAUAUCUCAAGAUGUGUCGUAUCACAUGACUCAUAAUUCUUUAUUCUAAAUGAGAUAAAGUUUUCUAUGAUUAGCAUCCAAUAAAUGGUAUUGGGGACGGUGCCAUAUUUUACUGUAUCAUGGGAUAAGGUUUUCCAGAAUCUAGAUAAUCUAAACUUAAAUUGGAUGAUUCUAAUAUAUGACAUAUGUUGUGUGAUUCAAAACAUGUCACAUCAUUUUUUAAUCAUAAUGUUCGAAGAAUAGAGCAAGUUUUACUUGGACACAUAUAUAAAUGAAAAAUGUUUAGCUAUAUUUUCAUAAAUGUAGUAAAAUAAAUGAAAAAGAAUUUAGUCACUUCAUUUAAUUAUUUUUUCUUUUAAUUUUUUCAAUUUAUGUGUGUGUAUUUAACCAUAUUUUAUUUGUGAUUAUGAUCAACUAGGUAUUUCUACUGAGGAAUAACCAAUGUUAAGAAAUUUUUAAAUGGUGGACCAAUAGAGCAAGCAUAUAAAAGUAAGGCUCGAAACUGAAAUUAAACAUAUAAUAUACGAGUAAGGCUAUUAUUUUUGUCAUCAGAUAAUUUUUCGCGCGUCCUAUUUAGAUUAUAAUUCCAAAAUAUUUUAACUUGCUUUUGAAAGUUUUUAUGGGACAUUUAUGUUGUUCGGAUUCUAUAAUCCAAACUGCAUAGAGCAAGCAAGAAACUCAUAGGAUGGAAAAAGAAGUACUCUGAAUGUAAUAGUAUUGCACAUACCAUUGUUGUGGCUUUGAUGACAGUAUCCGAAUGAAACCCAUGAAUGUUUGUUCCAUCAAUAGUAGAAAGCAUCACAUCCAUGAAAUCUUGACCCUCUUUACUCUUAUCAACACCUUCACUCUUCUUCUUCUUGUGCUCAUCCAACCACUCUGUGAUAACACCAUCCAACUCCUUAAAAUUUUGCUUCAUAUUCUUCUCAUGUCCACCAAAAUCAAACCACCUCAAAAAAGGAACAGCAUCAGCAAUAGGAAACACACCAGUCAAACGCAUGUAAUCUCUUAAAGCAUUCAAACACCUAUUAGCUUCUUCCUCUUUAACCAUCACACUCUCCCCAAAGUAUCUUUUCCCAGCAACCAUUCUAAGAACUAUAUUAAAAGCCAACUCAUUUAACCAUUUCUUCAUCUCCACCAACAAAUAACCAUUUUCAUCUUUCCUAUUUUUCCAAAAAUUAUAUAGCUCUUUAAUCGAAGUUUGAACCUCAGAGACACAAAUGUGAGUUAAUAGAUUGAUCUGAUGAUUUGAGAGAAAAUUUAGUGUAACGAUCUUCCUCAUUUCGCGCCAAAAGGGACCGUAAGGUGCAAAACCAAGCAUGGCAUAAUUAUAUGUCAUGUGUUCGAAUGCCACGAGGUUUGGACGAUAAGCAACAGCUAUAUCGUUUGUUGUGUAGCAUUCUUUUGCUGUUUUCCAAUUGUUUAUGGCUAGAGUUGUCGCGGUGCCGAGUUUGAUGGUGAAAAUAGGACCAUAUUUGUCUGCCAUGGAACCUAGAAGAUGAUGAGUUGCUUGAGAUUUACUAAAGAGGGGAAGAUGGCCAAUUAUUGGCCAAGUACCAGCAACCAUUGGGGGUUGUUUGGUUUUGUUGGAUUUGGAGUGGUGGAAUAGAAUUAUGAAGAGAAAGAUUGUUGAAAGGAGGCCAAUUGCAAUUGUGUUUUGAGAGAAAUCCAUUUGGGUGGGUGAGUAUGAAGGUGGUGAUUCUAUGGAGAUGUAUGAUAUAAUGGCUUGGAGUUGGGCUAAAGGAUGACUCUCUAAGUCCGGUUCUUAUAUAAGAAGUAAAAUAAACAAUAUUUAAAGGGUAAUGCUAUAUCACACCCACUCCAUUUUAUGAGUUUUUAAUUAAUAAAUUCAUUUUACAACUAUGAUCUUUUAUUAUAUUAAGGAUGAGUUGUUAAUUUUAUUUUUUUUAUUUAUAAUAAAGACCAAAAGAUAGUAGAUGUAACCAAAAAUACUAACUUUUUCUUUAAAUUUUUUGACUUUGUUUAAUCUAAAUCCUCUAAAAUGAACAUCUUGUUUUACAAUGUGUGUACCGAAACUCUGCUUCAUAAAUUAAAGACUAUUUUAUGAAAUAAGUUGUUAUUUGUUAUUAUUUAUAUUUUAAAAAAUACGAUCUCAUGAGAAAAAAAACAUCAUUUCAUUGUUUAUAUGAAUUAUAUUAAAUUUUUAACAUUUUCUCAUAAAAAAUAAUCAAUAUUCUUCAUUAUGAGUAAUAAAAAUUCAAAAAAAGUAAAUUUUAUUUGAUCGACGCUUUUGGUAAAUAAGAUUUAAUUAUUAUAGUUGUCAAUGAUAGAAAAUAAUUAUUUUUUCUUCAAAAAACAAUCAAUUUAAUUAUUAAUUUAAUGUUUGGUGCACCGGUACAAUCAAAAUGUUGGGUGUACCGUAGAAUUUGCCAAUUAAUAAACAUAUUUAGUCUUACUGGAAAGAAAAAUGAUGCUUAAUACUUAAAUUAAUAGUUAAAUACAAUAUCUUUUGAAAAAAAAAUUAUUUUCAAUUAUUUAUAAUUACAAUAACUAAAUCUUACAAAAGCAUUAACAAAAUAAAAUUUAAUUAUUUUAAAUUUUUAUUACUCAUAAUUGAGAAUAUUGAUUAUUUUUUGCAUGAUUCUUAUUGUAGAAAUAAUUGUUGUAAUUAGCUAUAAGUAGUUGGUUACAAUAGGAUUAGUGAAUUAGUUACACAACUAAGCAAGUUGUUGAAACUAUACACAUAUAAAUACACUUAUGUACUCAUUUCUCAAUUAAUUGAAUAGAAAGAGUUUUUUCCCCUUUUUCUUUUCUUCUCUGUUCAGUUCACAAUUUAUUCAUAUGGUAUCAUUGAGCCUGAGAGUUUGUUGAGGCGAUUACAGAAAGGUUCGCAACCGUCCGGUGGUGGAGGUUCCCGGCGUUUCGGCUCUCACCGAUCCUUCUCAGAACCCUUUCUAUGUUCAUCCUACUGAAAGCUCGACGACGGUGCUCGUUUCUCCGCCACUUAAUGGCAAAAACUACCAUUCUUGGUCUCGGUUGAUGAAGAAAGCAAUUAUCAUGAGAAAUAAGCUCUGAUUCAUUGAUGGUUCGUCUCCGAUGCCAGAUUCCUUCGAUCCAACCUUUGAAGCGUGGAUCCGCUGCAACAACCUUGUUCAUUCUUGGUUAAUGAACUCUGUCACUCCUUCAAUCACGCAAAGCCUCAUCUACACUGAUAGUGCCGUUGAUGCAUGGAACGAUUUGCAGGCACGUUUCUCUCGCGCUGAUCGUGUUCGCAUUUCGACCUUACAACGCGAUUUACACAGUUUUCGUCAAAAUUCUCUCUCUAUCAUUGAAUACUUCACCGAACUCAAGAGCUACUGGGAAGAAUUGGAGGUUUUUUGUCCAAUUCCUAAUUGCACUUGCAAUGUUAGAUGCAGUUGUGAAGCUAUGCGCAAUUCGCGACGAGGAUCUGAUACUCCUCUUUCUCACAGGUUUGAACGAUAAUUACUCAAUUGUUCAUUCCCAAAUUCUUUUGAUGGAACCAUUUCCCAAUCUUAAUUCUGUUUUUGGAAUGAUUCUUCAACAUGAGAGUCUCAAUGGAUUGGAUGUUACUGAGAAUUCAGAAGUCAUGGUUAACCUCUUUGAUGGUAAGAAAUCCACUGUAUAUGGUAAAGGCAAGGGCAAUUCUAGUACUAAGCCUUGUUCUUAUUGCAAUCGCACUGGUCACACUGUGGAUACAUGUUACCGAAAGCAUGGCUACCCUCCGGGCUUCAGAUUUCGCGAUGGUUCUGCACCUGCUAAGCACCUGAUGGCUACAGUUAAUUGUGUAGAUACUGAUGAUACAGAUACUAGGUCGAUCUCUGCUCAUAUGGAUGACUCUCACCCUGGAGCUUUCUUUAGCAUUGAGGAGAUGCAAGCUCUCAGAUCUAUUCUCAAGAACACUGUCAAGGGUGAUGCUGAGCAUGCGGUGAAUGUUGUUCGACAUCUUGGAGCACCAAAGCCUCACUCUGACAUGACACAAGGUAAGACUUGUGUCUCAUGCUGCUCUAUUUCUGGUUCCAUAGAUGCCUGGAUAUUGGACAGUGGAGCUACCGAUCAUGCUUGUUGUUCCCUUAGCAUGUUUAGUCGAUAUAAAAGGGUUCCUGAUAUUCCUGUUAGGUUGCCAAAUGGGAACUUAGUGCACACAAAUAUUAUUGGUGAUAUUCACGUCACAACUUUGAUCACUCUCACUGGUGUCCUUUAUAUGCCUUAAUUCAAUUAAAAUUUGAUAUCUAUCUCAAAAGUAACUCAAGCAUUGGAUUGCAGUUUUGUGUUCACUGACAAUUUAUGUUUGAUUCAAUCCUCCAUGCAGAAGAUGAUUGGUUCGGGUAGAAUGGUCAAUGGACUUUAGUAUUUAGAGAGCAUUACUUCUCAUGGUCCUUCACCUGUUUAUAUGGCAGGUACUCACUAUAACUCAGUUACCGUUCCUAAAACUGCCCUAUGGCACUUCCGUUUUGGUCAUACAUCAUGUAGUAGGAUAGAGGCCAUGGCAAAAUUGUAUCCUGAUAUUGUUUUGAAUAAAGAUACAGCGAGUUGUGAUAUUUGUCAUCUUUCUAAGCAAAAGAGGUUGCCAUUUAAUUUCAGUAACCAUAGAGCCUCUUGUUGUUUUGAAUUAUUGCACAUGGACUUAUGGGGUCCGUUUUCUACUGCCACUAUGCACGGACACAGGUACUUUCUCACCAUUGUUGACGAUUUUAUUAGAUUUACAUGGUUGGUACUUUUAAAGGGCAAUCAUGAGGCAAUGACACAAGUUAAAAAUUUUGUUUCUUAUGUUGAGACACAAUUUAAUGCCAAAAUUCUUACGUAGCGAUAACGGACCGGAGUUCACUCUUGCUGAUUUCUAUGCUAGCAAAGGUAUCAUUUAUCAAACCAGUUGUGUUGGGACACCACAACAGAAUGGACGGGUGGAACGCAAGCAUCAAUGUAUUUUGAAUAUAGCUAGAGCUCUUCUUUUACAAUCCUAUUUGCCUUCCAAGUAUUGGGGGUUUGUGGUCGCUCAUGCUGUUUUUAUUAUGAAUAAAAUAUCUUCUAAUGCUAUUCAAGGAGAAAUUCCUUAUAAACUUGUGUACAAUGAAUUGCCUGAUUUGUCUAGUUUCAAAGUAUUUGUUUCACUCUGCUUUGCUACUACUCAAGAUUGUCAUAAAUCUAAAUUGGACCAUAGAGCUCGCAAAUGUGUUUUUCUCGGUUUUAGACAAGGGAUGAAAGACUAUGUUGUUCUAGACUUACAUAAUUUCACAAUCACUGUGUCUAGACACGUUCAAUUUGAAGAAACUAUUUUUCCAUACAAAUCUUUAUCUCCUCCUAAAUCUAGCUGGGAGUACCUCACACUUCCCCUCACACCACAUUCCAAUCCACCACUACCAACACUCAUAGCCUCACCUCCUACUGACCUAUCAGCCACAAAUAACACACCACACUCUUCUCCAUCUUCACCUCUCCCUAACACUAACACUACCACUGAACCAACUUUGCCUACCUCCUUAAGAAAAUCCGCCAGACCAAAAAGACUACCCCUCCAUCUUAUGGACUAUCAAUGUGACAAAAUUGUUCAUAAGACACCUUAUCCCAUUACUAACUUUGUUAGCCAUUCCAAUAUUUCACCUCUUCAGCACAAGUACACACUUUCUCUCCUCACAGAGCAUGAGCCCACUAGCUAUGCUGAAGCUUGUCUACAUGAUUGUUGGGUCAAGGCAAUGCAGUUAGAAUUGGAAGCACUUGCUCUCAAUCACACUUGGUCCAUAGUUAACCUUCCCCCUCAUGCCAAGGGAAUCGGCAGCAAAUGGGUAUAUAAAAUAAAUAGAAAAUUUGAUGGAAGCAUAGAACGAUACAAGGCACGGUUAGUAGCCAAGGGCUACAAUCAAGUUGAGGGUGUAGACUAUUUUGAAACGUUCUCUCCGGUUGCCAAAAUGUCAAAAUCAGGGUACUAUUGGUUGUUGCUUCCAUCAACCAUUGGAAUAUCCAUCAAUUGGAUGUUAACAAUGCGUUCCUUCAUGGUGAUUUAAGUGAAGAUGUAUACAUGAAGAUUCCUUAAGGAUUAGAAGGCAUUCCACCACAUAAAGUGUGCAAACUUGAUAAAUCACUUUAUGGUUUAAAACAAGCGAGUCGCAAAUGGUAUGAAAAACUGUCUCAUUUCCUAAUUUCAGCUGGGUAUGCAUCGGCUACAUCUGAUCCCACUUUGUUCAUCAAGAGGACAACUUCCACAAUUACUGUCCUCUUAGUCUAUGUGGAUGAUAUUGUCUUGGUGGGUAAUGAUCUAGAUGAAAUACAACUCAUCAAAAAUAGUUUGCACAAUGUUUUUGGUAUCAAAGAUCUUGGAAUCCUGAAGUUCUUUUUGAGCUUAGAAGUGGCCCAUUCAGCAAAGGGCAUCACAAUAUGUCAGCAACAAUAUUGCCUUGACUUGCUAAAUGAGACAGGAACGUUGGGUUGUAAGCCGUCUAGCAUACCUAUGGAUCCCAGUCAGCGUUUACACCGUUAUGACAGUGAGCCAUAUGUUGAUGCAUCUGAGUAUCGAGCUCUUGUUGGUAAACUUCUAUAUCUGACCUCUACUCGCCCAGAUAUUUCCUUUACUGUGCAGCAGCUGUGUCAAUUUCUUGACUCGCCAACUGCAACUCAUUUUAAGGCUGCGCAUAAAGUGCUGCAUUAUUUGAAACCAGCCCUGGUACAGGUCUAUUUUUUCCUAGAGAUUCUUCCCUGCACCUACUCGGUUAUAGUGAUGCAGAUUGGGGAGGGUGUCCUGAUACUCGACGAUCUAUCACAGGGUACUGUUUCUUUAUUGGGUAAUCUCUUGUUAGUUGGAAAUCUAAGAAACAACAAAUAGUCUCUCGUUCAUCAUCCGAAGCUGAGUAUAGAGCUCUUGUUGCAUCAACAUGUGAAUUGCAGUAGCUUGUCUAUCUUCUCACUGAUUUGAAUGUGACUUGCUCCAAAGUACCUGGCCUCCUUUGUGAUAGCCAAAGCGCACUACAUAUAGCCUCUAACCCUAUUUUUCAUGAGAGAACGAAACACCUAGAUAUUGAUUGCCAAUGUAGUGAGGGAGAAACUUCAAAGUGGACUCAUGGAAUUGUUUCCUAUCUCUAGUCAAGAGCAGAUUGCAGAUAUCUUGACAAAGGCGCUGCAUCCGGCAAGUUUCAAUCAUUUGAUUGCCAAGCUAAGUCUGCUCAACAUAUACCAGCCUUAGCUUGAGGGGGUGUGUAGAAAUAAUUGUUGUAAUUAGCUAUAAGUAGUUGGUUACAAUAGGAUUAGUGAAUUAGUUACACAACUAAGCAAGUUGUUGAAACUAUACACAUAUAAAUACACUUAUGUACUCAUUUCUCAAUUAAUUGAAUAGAAAGAGUUUUUUCCCUUUUUCUUUUCUUCUCUGUUCAGUUCACAGUUUAUUCAUACUUAUAAACAGUGAUUUUUUUUUUGACAUUAUAUUUUCUAAAAUUUUUUUUUAACAAAUUGCCGUUUCUUAUAAAAAUAAAUAGCUAUUUAUUUUAUAAAAAUGAUCAUUAAUUUAUAGAUAUAAGAAACAAAAAUAACAAUACACCUCAAUUUAUGGAUGUAACUUGAAAGUCUCCUAUAUUACACACUGUGAUGAGCGGCGGCGGAGAUUUUAAGGUUACAAUAAAAGUCAAGUAACAAAGACUGUGGAUGGAUGGUUAGUUAAAGUUUCAACUGUGGCACUUGGACGCAGACAUGAAAAAGCAUUGAACUUUACUUGAAUUUGUAAUAUUUGUCAUUAUUUUUCGUUCGGCAAUUCAAUAAUCCUAAAUCAUGACUUUACUUUCAACUACUAUAACAUGUUUCCUUUUUCAAUUGAAACACGUACGGUAUUUAUUUGGGUACAAUUGAAACACGUAAUUUGAAAUGCAGACAUCUUAUACUAUUAUUAAAACAUUCAAAACCAAAUGAAUCUAAAUUGUUUUUUCUCCUCUUUUAUUUACCUAAUUGAUUUUCACCUACUCAUCACGGUGUAGACAUUGACAUCGGACACUAAUUCGUUGACACCAUUAAUAAUUUAAGAAAAUUACAUAAUUCACUAUAAUUAUAUGUGUUGGUGUCGGAUACGUCAAGUGUUCGAAAACAGAGCACGCCUAAUCAAAGGGGUGUCCCUUCUUCAUAGAAUUUCACACAUAUUUGGUUUUCCUUUCGUGUGUUUGUCGUUUUAGAACAAUACACUGCUUUGUUUUUCGUCUUGAUGCGACAUUAUAUUCAUUUUCCAUCUUCUUUAUGUGUUUGUUCGGUUCAAAUUCACAUAUUUGUUUAAUCUAGUGUAAAUUAAAUCAAUGAUUUUGACAUCCUUAAUAUUACAUAUUGGAAGACAUGAGCAACAUAAACACUUUAAUUUCAUCAUAUUUGUAGGCUAUGUCACAUUUGUAGAUAUUUUGUUGUUGUAUGUUAUUAAUUUGAGUGUUGCGAAUUUAUUUGUGUUGACAUAUGCCAUGAAUUAAUGUUGGGAAAAUGUCCCACAUCGGAGAAUAGAAAGAAAUAUGCAAAGAUUUGGCCUAUAAAUAAAAGCCUUGUUUAUAAGUAUUUCUUGCAGCAAUAGUUAAUGGGUUUUGUUAUAUCUGAUAUUACCUAUACUAUUCGGUAUCUGUAAUCUUUAAUUAUCGAUUAUAGUGGAACUCUUUUCAGUAACUCUGUCUAUAGAUUAAUCAGCACAUUGUUGGAUACCGUUAAAUCUUGUGUCGUUUUUCAUUCAAUCUUUUACUAUAUUAUUGUCAUUAUUCUCGCAUUCCGUUAUGUAUGGACAUCAACAUUUUUGCUAACCCCACUAAAUUUGACCAUCUAUGAACAUCACUUUACAGAACUUGAAAAACAACAUUGUAUGUACAACAACCCAAAACCAUAAAAUUGCAGUCUAGGGGACCAUGAAAGAAAAAAAACAUGAAAGAAAAAAACAUGUCUACAUAGCUCCAAAACAGUCCAUGUCCAUUACCAUGUCCAUAUAUAAUAAAAAAGAGGUAUAGCCUGCACUGCAUAUUAUUGAAUAAUUCCAACUAGAUAAUAAUAAUUCAGUUUUACAAAUCCUUGUUCACCAAGAAAAUUUGCAUAAUAAAAAAGACAAACAUUUCAAUACUUUUGCAUAAUAAUCUAGAUCUACCCUCCAAUGUCUAACUGCACAUCGCACGGUGAUCCUUACUCGAGGGAUCUUGUUAAUUCAAAGGUAAUUGAAACAUAAACUCAAAUUGACAUUCCAGUGUUUCCCAAGACAAUGAAGGUCAAGGUUCCCUUUGUUCAGCCCAUCUAUGAAUCUUAGGACAUUCAUAGCACACCCUCUCUACGCUCCUAGUAGUUCUACAAAAGGGCAGCCCUAAUCUAGGUCUACCUUACUAAGAGUUUCAAGAGAAUGGUUUGAUAAAGUCUUAUUCCCCGGAGACGCUUGCUUCCCUAAUUAAUAACCAGUUAAUUCCUAGGUUUGGUAGGGCACCACCUAGUCUUAAUAGUUUCACCUACUAAGUACCUAUGUCUAAGGUCAACAAUCUUUUCAGUAUCUUUCAUUAGUUAAUAAUCAGUUACUUCCUAAAUAUAUAAUAACUUGUAUAAUGCUAUAAAUAACAAGAUAUAAGCAACAAGAUAGUAGUAGCAAUAUUAGGCCCGGUCACAACCUAAUUACCUAAUCUAGGGCUACGCUCCUUUUAAAUAAAUAACUAAAUCAGGAACUUAACAGCGAACAAAAGAAUAAAUAAAAUAAACGACAUAUUAAAUUAAAUACAUAUCCAACAAAAAUAAACAGAGGUUCAUCUUAGAACUCUAACCUAAAAAAAUUUAGUUACACAUGGUAACAAAAAACAAAUUACAAAUGAUAAAAACAUACCCUAGAAAAUCAAGGAGAAGAUAAAAAAAUCUCCUCACUUUCCAAAGUAGCCCUCCUCUUGAAUUGCCACAGUUUCGAACGAGAAUUCAUGAAUGAGGAAGGCUGGUAUUUAUAGUGAGAAUUUCUACCUGGAUUUGGGUUAAAAGUGUGGGCUUUACCCAACACGGAAGCAGGAAAAGACAGUUGAGCCUCACAUUUUUGCAUACAAGGGGCGCAUGACAGAUGCACGGGGCGCAUGUGAGUGCACCCCAAUGCAUGCCCUUUGCGUAUGGUAUGUAAAUUCCAUGCCCUAGCCAUUUUUCCAUGCCCUAGCCAUUUUUCCAUGCCCUAGGCGCAUGGUGUCUAUCUCCUAGGCCCAAUCUCCGAUUUUCCAUUGUUUUAGGUCUUCGUCUUCAAAUAACUUGCCUUGGUACUUUGGGAACUGAAUUUCUCCCACUUGUAAGUUUUAGAGGCCUCUUAAAUCUUUAUUAUUGGUUAUCCUGAAUCUUCACAAUUCUUCAGAUGUUCUUGAUUUGCUGAUUUGCAUGAUUUCUUCGUGAAUUACUUCAAAAACCCCUAAAAUUGCUAUGUUUCAGAAAAACUAGAAUUACAGACUCAAAUAUAGAAAACAUUACAAAAGUCCCGAUGUCAUAGACAAUCAUUCUAAUACUCCUCCUUUUUGCUCCUAAAUCCUAUUGAAAAUAACUGAAAAGCAUGCUAAGAAUAACGUAAGAUGAUGUAACACCUCGUUACCCAAAAUCAAUUUAAUAAUAAAUAAACAUGCAUCAGAGUAAUUCCCAAACGGGCAUGUCACACUACAUUUUUCAAAAUUUAUUAAUUAGAACAUAAAAAUCUAACUAAUAAACAUCCUUCAAAAUCAUCAUUAAUUUUGCAGCGGAAUAUUUGCAUCAAAACAACAACUGUUUAAACCUCCAUAAUUAAAUCUGGCAUAAAAUCCUUAUCAACAUAAAUCCAACAACAAUAGGGCUACAUCAGCAAUAUCCAAAAUUUGAUACAUAGGAAAGAAGGUAAGCAUUAAAUUCCCAUCCCACGUAUCAGAGCCCUAGACAGUUUGAGCCACCACCUACUACUCAAGAUCACCUGCAAGUUACCUAUAGGAAGGGCAACAUUUUCAAGCAGAAGGGGUGAGAUUCACAACAAUAAAUAUAGAUAAAUAAUUCAUCAAUUUGAAUCUAACACCCUAUCAUAAUAAUAAUUCAUCAACAUAUAUAAAUAAUCAUCAUUUUCAACAUCAACAACAAACGGUAGUUAAAACCAACAACUUCAACUCAUGCAAGACUCGACACCUCUACUAAGACUCCUCUACAAAUGCAUGUGGUACCAUAAUCAGGGUUGGGGCCCUCACCGCUAAUUGAAUGGUUAAAGCAUUCAUUUUCAGGAUAUAAGUUCUCACCGCUAAUCACCGCUUUGAACAACAAGUGUUCCACUGCUUUGAACGACAAGGCGUUCCAGGGCCAGAGCCCUCCCGCUUUUGUGCUUAUGCAACUGACUCCACUUGUGUAUAUCUACAUACAACUCCAACAAAUGCAUAUGUAUUUAUAUGACUCACCACUCCAUAAUGCAACAUCAUGUAUGACUUAAUUAAAUUAGAAGCAUACAUCCCAGUCAACAACAAAUCAUUAUAAUCAAUCCAACAAUUUGCAUAAUUUAUUUAAGUGUAAUUAUACAUAAAUCAACAACCAACAAUCAAUCUUGCUCCUAGUAAAAAUAAUAUAAUCAUACGUAAUCAUUUGUACAGCCGAAAGAAUCAACCAAACAAAGCGUACAACUGGGUAUACAAAACUCCAAAUAUGAUUCAAUCCUGGGCACUUUCGCCAGGCGAACUACUAAACUCGCCAGGCGAAAUCAACAAAAUUGGCUUCUCGCCAUGGCGAGCCCGUGGCGAGCAAAAGGCGAGUGGCUACUGGGCACUUUCGCCAGGGCGAACAAAAGGCGAAGCAAUGGCGAACUAAGUCAGUGUUCUCUGGAAAUCCUACUGGGCAGCUUCGCCAGGGCGAACCAAUGGCGAGCGAAAGGCGACAUUUUGCCAGACGAAAAUACCAUUCCGCCAGGCGGAUCAUAACAGUUUCAGAAUCGUGAAUUUCAAUUCCUUCACCAAAAGACCCCAUUUUUCCCAAUUUUCAACCCCAAAACGGUUUACAGUAAUGUUAUGCAUUCCUAAAAUCGCCCGGAACAUAUUUCUAACCCUAAAACAAUGGUUCCUACACUCAUUCCGUCCAUAAUUCGAAGAAUCAAAACCUAGACCCAAAUUCACAAUUUCUACCAGAACUAGGUUAAACCAAAAUCAGAAUUAAAAUCCAUACUAUUGAAAGUAAACCUCACCCUUACCUUAGUUUUGCAGAAAGAAAAGCUCUCAAGAUCAAAAUCUCCCUUCUUGGUUCUCCUCUUGGCUUUCUCUGGUUUUUCUUCCAAAACUUGAUUGUAUUAAAAUAAACUAUAUAAUAAAAUAUAACACACCAUAUAAAUCAACAAAUACCAUCUUAAAUCAUAUAAAUGACUCUAAAUAAUUAAAAUAAAUAAAUUAACGACUAGGGCGUUACAGAUGAUCUGUCAUCAUUUAUGAAGGCUCGUUCUGUUGAGAUUGGACUGACCUUCUCGUUGUUGAUGGUACUGCUGAGACUCUUUCCAAACCUCGGGUGAAUACAUUUUAUUAAUGGCAAAUAUAUAUAUAUAUAUAUAUAUAUAUAUAUAUUUGUGUGUGUAUGUAAAAAGCGAAAUAAAUUUUUUAAUUAGUACUUACGCCACCUAAGGUGUAUACCUCCGCCCCUUGAGUGACACCUAUUGGUCACAUGAUGAUCUUUACUUCUGGGGUCUUACACCCUCAGGGGUAAUUGAAACAUAAACUUAAAUUAGAGUUCCUAGAUUUCCAAAGGUAUGGUGACCAGUGUUUCUGAAGGUUCUCUCAUCUAUAGAUUUUAGAAGUACAUAACACAUUCUUCCUCUCGGUAAUUCUACAAACGAGCAGCCUUAUCAACAUUUACCUUACCAAGGUUCGAGGAGAAUGGAGUUAAUGGGAUGAUUUAUUUCGUGAAGUCACUUGUUUCCUUAAUUACUAACUACUUACUACCUGAUUUCAGCAGAUGUUCAUCAAUAUUAGGUAUGUCACCUGCCUAAGUACUUACUAUCAAGGUACACUCGCUUUUGUUUUUUCGCUAGUUACUAACUAAUUACUUCCUGAUUACACAUAUAUAAAUAUCAAGAUAUAAACAUCAGUAUUAGGUCCUGUCACUACCUAAGUGCCUAUAUCAGGGUUAUGCUUCAGAGGAGAAAAAUCUUACGCACUACAGUAAAACUAAAAGCGUACCUAAGGGCCUAUAUCAGGGUUUUGCUCCAGAGGAGACAAAUCUUACGCACUACAGUAAAACUAAAUAGUGAACAGAAAAUAAAUCAAUAAACGACUUUAAAUUAAAUAAUUAUCCAACAAAUAAAAUAGAGGUUCAUCUUAGAACACUAGCCUAAAAGGAUUUAGUUACUCAUGGUAACUAAAAACAAAUUACAAAAGAAAUAAAACAUACCCAAGAGAAACUUGGAGUGAGGAGAGAGAAACUCCUCCCUGGAAGCUUCUAGUGAUCACGUACCUCUUGAACUACUUCGUUCUCAAUGAGAAAUUGUGAAUAAGGAAUGUAGUCUUUAUAAAGAGAGUCUCCACCUGAAGUCGGGCCCAAAAACCGAGAUUCUCGUACUAAAAAGUAGCAAAAACAGUUUUAACCAGCAUUAAGAAAUUCUCGAGGCACGCAAGUUGUGCUCGGGGCACCUUAGUGUGCAUAAAAUGUAUGUCAAGGCGCCCAUGCCAUGCUCGGGGCACCUUUGAGUGCAUUCUAAUGCAUAAAUCUUUGUUUUUUCGUCCAUUUGGGUGUUUGCUUCGUUUUUCUCCCUCUGUAAAGUCUUAUGCGGCCUCUUGAAUCUUCAUUUUUGAUCUUUCCAAAGUCUUCACUAAUCUUUAGAUGUCUUGAUUUGCCAAUUUUCAUGAAUUCUUCGUGAAUUACAUCAAAAACACCCUAGAAUUACUAUAAGAAAUUACAGACUCAAAUAUAUAAUUACAGACUCAAAUAUAGAAAACAAUAUAAAUGUUCCAAAAUAUAAGAAAUUAUUCUAAUACUCCUAUGUUCUGCAGAUAAAACCUACUAAAAAUGACUGAAAAACAUGGUAAUAAUAACGUAAGAUGACCUGUCAUCACUUACCUACAACAUAAUCAGCUCCCUCACCUCCACCUUGUGCAACCCAUUAUUCACCCUACGAUCACCCUCAAUAAAGAAACACUAUCCUUUGUUAUAAUGAUAUUAUCCUUUGUCUCUCGAUGCAAUUGCCUGAGAGAUCGCGGGUAGAGGUAGGUCUAUAUUCAUGUAUAACUUUUCGAGCUUAUGUUAUAGAAACAAUCACCUAUUUUUCCACCAAUGCAUCAAAAGUCAAUUGUUUUUUGGAUUCAUGUUGUUAACUUUAGCAGGAGACAUAUGUUGAGGGAAGAGUGAAGUUAUAUUUGAAGCAUAAAAAGUAUACAUACGAAAAAUAGUUAUUGAAAUUCUAUCCAAACACAACUUUAUCUAUAUUGGUUCCGUUUUACUUUGAUUCACGUCACCAACACAUUUACAACAUUUAGUUCUGAAAAUUUGUCGUUACGAACUUAAAUCAACUAAGUACGGUCUAUAUGGAUUUGAUAUUUUUUUUUAUUUAUUAAAAUCGACAUACUUACCACUGUAUUAAGGAAACCUGAAAUCCUCUUUUAUCGUAUGACACACGAUAAUUAAUAGCUUCAAAGUUGAUUCAAAGUAAAGGUUUGAUAAAAAAAAACAUUUGACAGCAUGUCCAAGUUAUACACUGUUUUGUUCAAACAAUAUUAUGACAUAGCAAAAUGGUAAAAUAUGAUUUGACUUAUAUAUAAUUUUUUUAUAUAGUGAAUGUAUGCGUAAUUAUUAAAAUUAUUUUUUUAAUAUCGCGGUUUUGACCAACUUUCGUUAGGUGUAUCGAGUCAUUUUCAUAUUACCUUCCUUUUAUAUUUGUAUCACUUUUUAAAUAUAAACAAAGAGACUACACAAUUUUUAUCAUAUAGCCAACUUAUCUCUUGUGAGUUUUCUUGAGCUCAUUUUAGAGUAUUAUUUUUCAUAGCCACGAUGAAUAAUUUUUGGGCUUUGCGCAGAGAAAUAACUCAGAACAAUGGCUCUGGCCGUCCCGUUCAGCCUGAUAGACAAACUCGCAAUAACCAUCAAUCAACAAAUGGUUACCUCACAACACCACAAACUAUGAUACAAAGACCCCAAAAUCAUCAUCUAAUGGGUGUCAACAAUCAAUCAACAAAUAGUUUUACUCAUCCUGUUCAGCAUGACACUCAAACUCACAGUAACCAUCAAUCAACAAAUGGUUACCUCACAACACCACAAACCAUACUAGAAAGACCCCAAAAUCAUCUCAUGGGUGUCAACAAUUUCAACCAAGGUAUCAAUCUUAUUAUUAAUGUCUUUUUUUUUUUAAAAAAAACUUCAUAUCUUAAAAAUAAAGAUUUGUGUUAGUAAGAAUAAUUCACUAUAAAUUUGUGUGGUCAUUUAACUUUUCACGUCAUUUGAGUUUGUUUGUAUAUGAGUUUUCAAAUAUCAAUUGUACAAUAUAUGUGAAUACAUGAGUGAAGAACAAUAGAUUUAAACACCAAAAGUUCAUAUUAAAAUAAAACCAUAGAUUUAAAUUUUGAAAGUUCUUAGCAAAUUGAUCAAAACACGAAAAUGACAUGAAAAAUUAAAGGUAAAGAAUGAAACUGCUAUAUGAAAGUAGAUUAAAGAUCAUUGAGGCUCUCUAAUAGAUUUGUUUUUAUUGUUAUUAUUAUUAUUAUUAUUAUUAUUAUUAUUAUUAUUAUUAUUAUUAUUAUUAUUAUUAUUAUGACUUUAAGUUAAUAUUUGUUUUUUCUCAAAAAAAUAAAAUUUAAUAUUUGUUUCACAUGUCAAAUGCAGAGAGGUACCAGAGAAAUAACAGUGUUGAUGCUGCAACUCUGUCAAUGAGGAAUUUUCCCUUUUCUGCCAAUGAUACUACAUCAUUCAUAACAGAAGAUCGAUAUGGUCGAGCUUUACCCUUAGGCUCAUGUCUAACAAGUGGCCCACAACAACAUAUGAGCUCACCCCACUCUACUCUUCUUUCUUCUUAUCGUGCAGACAUAGCUCAAAAUUCCUCAUCCAAUAUUGUUGGUUCCCGCGGUUUUGCAAAUUGGUCUCGAAAUCCUUCAAGACCAAUUAUUCAAAAUCAAAGUAACCAUCGAUAUCAUCCAUAUGGAGAGGGUUCAAAUCGUAGGAAUAAUUCUUUUAUAUCCAACGAUUUCAACCUUCGUCCAAGCGGUAAUCCGAAUAGAUUUCAUAGUGUGAAUGAUGGCUCUAUUCCAAGUGCAUAUCGUCCUCCAUUUUGUCCCAUUAACAAUAAUGAUUUGAACAUGUUUCUUUCUUCUGGCAAUGCUAAUUGGAAUUCAACUCAUGAUACAUCAACAAGUCAUCGUGUGUUCGGCAUUCGAGACAAUGGAGCUAGGAAUAUAUCAAUUCCUCCUCCAUUUUGUCCUACUAACAACAAUGACUUCAAUCCUCGUGCAAGUGUUGAUACAAAUAGAUUUCAUGUGAAUGAUGUCUCGGUACCAAUUACAACUCCUCCAUUUUGUCCUAUUAACACUGAGGAUAUGAGCAUGUUUAUCUCUUCUGGUAAUGAUAAUUUGGAUUCAAUUCGUGCGACAUCAACGAGCCAUCGUGUGUUUGACAUUCGAGACACUGAUGCUUGUAGAAGGCCAAUGGCUCCCCCUGAUAAUUGUUCGGAAGGAAUACAAAAUGAAAAGAAAGAGCUACUUCUUUUCAAGGAUACAAUUCCUAAAAGCUCAAUGGCUGAAGGCGCUGAUGAUGCAAAUGAAAAUGACGAUGAGCAUUUGGAUCUCAAGCUUCACCUUUAAAUUAUGAUUAUUAUCUUACGUCCUUUUGGUUUAAUGAAUGGUUACUUUUUUUUUUCCUCAUAAUAAAAUUUAGAUAUGUUACAACUCUCAUUAGAGAUGAGUCUUAUUGUUGUAUUUCUUUCGGUUUUGUCCACCAUAUAAUAUAAUGAAUUACUUUAUGAUUACAGUCGAAAUACUCGCGACUUACUUGUAUUUGAAAAUAUAUUUUUCUUUUGGUGUGUUACAAUAUACAUAGCUUUGUUUUAGACGGGGCUUUCGUAAAUAGACGAUUGAAUUGAACCUCUCGAAUUAAUCGAUCAUUUUGCAAUAUCGAGUUUUUAAAAAAUAUAUAUACUUUCAAGAAAACAUAAUGUUAAUUAAAUAAUUUUUUUUUGGGUAGUUUUAAAGAAUAAUGAUUUUGUUUCAAAUUAGGUGAAUUAAAAGCAAAAUAAACAGCAUCGUAUUGCUAGCAAAAUAAAUCACUUUUUAACCGACAGAAUUAGACCAUUUUAAUUUCAAACAAUAAUUAAAGUUUAACUUAUAAGUUUUUUAUUGACAAAUAUAUAAAUUAUUUAUACCAUACUUAAAAAAAUUAUUUAUGUAAGGAUAUUAUUAAGAAUACUAUAUAUUUAUAUUACUCUAAUAAUAGAUUUGAUAAAAACUCAUUAGAGAGCGAAAAUUAUGUUUUAAAAAAUAUAUCGUACAAAGACGAGAAAUUAAAAUAAAAAAAAUCAUAUUACUAGAAAAUUGUGUUGCCGCUAUACAAAUCCAUAUGUUAUUUUUUUUAUUAUAAAGAAAUGCAUAUAUUGUUAAUUUCCGUCUUUCUGCGGUGUACCUUUUAUUUCCCUUCUUAAUACAAUGUUUAUUUGAUUCAGGUUGAAUGAUUAACUUUAAUCAAGUGCAAAUUCAAUCAACGACUUUUGCAUUGUUAACAUUGCAUAUCCGAAAACAUGUAUUUCGGUGGCUUUAAUAUAAUCAUAUUUGUAGGCAUAUGUACUAUGAUGUUUUAUGUUAUUAACAUGGAUGAUGUGAGUUUGUUCGCAAAUUUCAUUCUUUUUAUUUUAGCGACUUUGAAUAUGUAUUGUAUCGAUGUAUGUUAUCAAUUUGAAUGAAUGAAUAUCAUUUAUUUGCUAAAAAAGAAAUUAAAAUGAAAUCAAGCUGAUGAAUUUAAAAGGUAAUUUUCCCUCUCUAAUGAGUUUUUAUAAAAUCUAUUACUAUAGUAAUAUAAAAAUAUAGUAUUUUCUUAAUAAUAUUCUUAUCUAAAUAAUUUUUUUAAGGAUGGUAUAAAUAACUUAUAAGUUUGUCAAAAAAAAUUGAGGGAAAAAAACUUAUAAGUUAGACUUUAAUUAUUUUUUGAAAUUAAAGUAGUAAAAUUCUAUAUGUUAAAAAGUAAUUUCUUUUACGUUCUUUCUUCGUUAAUAUUAAAAAAGUGAUUUUUUCCUUCAAAAAUAAAAAAUAAAAAAAAGUGAUUUCUAGACCCUCGUGAUCAACAUAAAAACAUUUUAUAGAAAAGCUUUUAACAUAAAAAAUAAUGAACAAACAUUCUUAAAAUUAUAUAUAAAUAUGUUAAUUAUGAAAUAAAAAUUAGCAAAAGUCUAAGUCCAUAAAUGUUAUCGUGUAAUGAAGAAAUUAAAGCUUAUUUCUAAAUCAUUUUUCUUAUAAUAGCUUAAAUCAAAUAUAUGUGAAAAUAUAUAUUAUUGUACCUUAUUUAACAUCCAAUCAAAAAUAAUUACUUUAAUUUUAAAUAAUUCUAUAAAAGUACUUCUAAUAUUGACACAAUUCAAAGGUGAAUCUUACCGGUUUUAAUAAAUUUUUUAUAAAAUAUUAUAUCUAAUCACUAUUUUCUAUUGUUGUAAAAUUCUUUUUUUUUUUGUUAAAGAUGGUAAGAUUCCACAUUUGGAACUUUUUUUUUUUUUUUUUUUGACAAAACAUUUGGAACAUUUUUAAAUGGUCAAUAUCAUAUUAGCUAGACUCAUAAUAUAAAUUACUUACGUUUUAUUUUAAAUUUAUAAAUUUUCCUUUAACUCCUGUUUUUUAAGACUUUUUUCUUUUGAUUAUAAGAAAAGAGAUUAAAAAGAUAAUAAAAAAUUUAAUUAUAUUGUUUUUUAUUUCUCUAAUAGGAAUCUUAUUAAUUGUUUUGAAUUGAAUUGAUCGAAAUGAUUUAGAAUUAUAUUAAUAAUGGUCAACUAGCUAUUUUUUUUCUAAAAAUUGAAGAAAGAGAAAAUUAUUUUUAAUUUUUUUAUCAAGUAGUAUGACUAGAAUUCACACAAUUAAUAGGAAUCUUAUUAAUUGUUUUGAAUUCAAUUGAUCGGAAUGAUUUAGAAUGAUAUUAAUAAUGGUUAGGUAGAUUUUUUUUCUAAAAAUUGAAGGAGAAAAUUAUCAUCAUUUUUUGAUAAAGUAGUCUAGUGGCUAGAGUUUACACAACUAAUUGGAAUCUUAUUAAUUGUUUUAAAUUGAUUUGAAUGAAAUGAUUUAGAAUGAUAUUAAUAAUGGUCAACUAGCUAUUUUUUUCUUAAAAAAUUGAAGAAGGAGAAACUUAUCAUCAUUUUUUGUCAAACGGUCUAAUGGCUGAAGUUUUUUUUUCCAACUAGGUUGGCACCCAACAUCCUCUGCCGCCUCUCGAAUACGUAAUAAUAUUAUUAAAAAAAAGGAAAAAUCUGUACAAAAGGGGGGGGGGGGGGGACGACUAGGCCAAUACCCUAAAAAAAGGAAACAUAAAAUAAAAUGACUAAAAAUGGCUACGGGAAUCUGUAAUUAGGAGAUAUUACAUUAGAAGUCUCUUGAUUGUGUUCAGGAGCAUAGGAAGUCUCUUGCAGUUGUGCUUGUGCAUUUGAAGUCUCGUGCUAGUUUUAGCAGUGAGCAGUUGUAAUCAGAUAUUACAUUUUAGUGAACUCUUGUUUGAAAGUGCAAGGGGGACAGGACUAACUUCCAGUUUGUGGAAGGAACCUGUAUAAUUGCUUUGUGUCUUUCUUCUUUCUCGCUUUCUGUUUUAUCUGCUGCUAUUUAGUUUUGGAAAUCACUUCAGAAGCAUAACUCUAUUUGUUUCUGAUCAGUGUUUUUAGCUUAGGAGAAAACGAAGAAAAAGCUAACACAAUUCAACCCCCGUCCCCUCUUCUUGUGUUUUUUCUCACCUUCAUAUUUUAUUAAGCAACCUAAAAACAUUAGGUCAUGUAUGAACAAGAACAAGUAUCUUUGAUUACUGUAAUACGGGUAAGUUACGGACCCGUGGUAAUAAAUCAUGUAAGUAUAAGUUAUAAGACCUUAUGUAUGAAUAAGACUAUAUAAGUAUGAACAUGUCGUGUCUUUCCAUUAGCCACGAUAGGGGGAUACGAGAGGUUCACGUUAGGGGGACAAGAUACGCUCCGCAAAGUAGGCCCGCACGACAAUAAGAGGAGUCCGGUGUUAAACUCUGUUAGGAAUAUCACCGGUUAUGUCAUGGGAUUAUAUUCCGGGGUUACUCCACAUGGGAUUAAUCUGUAAAACGAACCAAGAUAAUUAUGUUUAUUCCACGCUAACUUCUAACAUGAUAUGAUAUGAUUAAGCCAUGAUAUUGACGAUUUUCAGACGUAGUGGUCUUAGUCUCCCCUUACCACCUUGGUAUGCAGGGCAUAUAAUAAGAAUUGUAGAUUAUGAUAUGUAGAAGCUUAUGAAGAUAUUAGUUAUGCACGAUAGUUUAGGUAUGCAAGACUUCACACACGUAUAAUCAACCGAAUGGUUGUGUUGUAUACAUGUGGUGACCAUAGGUUUCCCCGAGGUUGCCUAUAGCCUAGGAUUAAGUAAAACUCACUGAGACAAUAUGUCUCAUCCCAAUACUUUUAUGUUUCAGAUCAAAAUGUUUUGUGGCAAGCGAAAUUAUGUAGGUAGUAGAAUGGAUUAUCAUCUAGUACAAGUUCGUAUCAGUCGAAGAUUAUUGUUACGGAUUCAAGUGGUUACUAGAAGAAUGUAUUGGAUUUAUAAGAUUGUUGUAUCAAAUGUACGAACUCAUUUAGAUGAGUAUAUUUAUUGAGAUUGUUGUGUUGUAAAUUGUAAGGUAUCUAAUACUAAGAUAAUGCACAUACUAAAUUUUCUAUAUACGUUUAGUAUGGGUGUUACAUUUGGUAUCAGAGAAGGUCGACUAAGAUCGUGCCAUGGGUCAUUAGAUUUCAACUAACGUAGUGGAGCCAUUGGGUUCUGGGUAUUUAUUCUAAGUGUUGUUGCUAGCUGAGCCUGAUCAACUCAAUCUAUCACACGGGAGUUAUAAUUGAUGUCUGAGAGCUGAAUAGGACCUAGGAGGAACGAAGCGUGUGAUGGAGAUGAACUAGGAAGUAAGAACUCGUAGUGACUAAUAGUAAGAAUCUACUCAUUCCAAAAGGUGGCCGGUGAACUGAGAAGUUUAAGUUGGAUUCCUCCGGGGACACAGAGAAAUGUUAGGAUCAAAUUAGAAUACCCCAACAUUGUUGUAUAUAUUGUUGGACAGUAUUUCGUAUGUGGAAAAUUGAAGAAUUUAAGAAUAUCCAGGGAUUGGUCUGAGACCUUCGUGGGAGCCGUAGUUGAAGUAGGAAUGUGAUACAAAGUAAAGUUAUACUCCUGAACCCAGAUUCAAGGUUACAUGAUAAAGGGGCACAAGUAAAACGGUUGGAAGUAGAUGAAGUUAAAUCUUUAUGGGGUAAUUAAGUAAGCAAUGUAAGUUAGUCAGACUCUGUCAGAGAUCGCGCCUCCCGAAUCUUAAGUGUCAAACUUAUAGGACGGAAAGUGAAAUGUCAUACAACAUGAAGGUUAGGAUGGAUGAGUAUUUAAGUAAUGGAAGGGUGUGUCACGAAUUAAAGGUAUUUUCGAAUGUGUUUUCAAGGUCAAGAGAGAUGGAAUCGGUACUAGUAUAGCGCACUUUGGUUUGAUGAGUUAACCUUAUGAGGCAGUGAAAAGUGCAAGCUAGCCCCUCUGAUCGCGACACGUGAACUCCCAAGAAUAACUUGGAAAUUAAAUAACCAUGUAUUAAUGAGAGUGUAAUACCCACGAGUCUCACGGAUUGGUGAUUAUGGCUAAUGAUAUAUAAAUGAUGAAUCAAAGUGGCGCAGUGGAAAUUGAUUAGUAAGAAGUUUAAGGAAUACGCAAAUUCUUGGACCUUGGAAUAGGAGUUUCAUGAGAUAGGAUAAGUAGCCGUUAGUCAAGCGGUUAGCCAUUUCUAGUGAGAAGUAUUGAGAGAUGAGUAAGAAAUUCUUGAAGCACCAGGUUCAAAAUGAUGGGACUCGAGUAAAACUGGAAUCACCACUGGUAUGGUCUUUGAUUUUCUUAGUUCACUGACUUUAAGUAUAAACAAAAAAUGUCAGCCGGUUAGAAAAGAGUUCGGUGUGAGCAACGUGGUUUUCUAAGUUUUGUGUAGAUGUGAUUAUCUCCACAACUCUAUGUUUUGCUUGAUUAACUUGUUAAUUCUUGCCAUAAUGAUGAAUUAAGGUGUUUACGUGAUUUCUAGACUCGAUACGUGCAUUUGGGUACUUGGAAUUGAUGUUUUGAGCUAAGAUACGAAUUCUACAGGUCCUGCUCUGUCCUAACUCGCUUAAAGCAAGCUAAACUGACCUGGAGCGAGUAAACUCCAGAGAGAACUCGCCUGAAGCGAGUAACUAGCUUAUAACUCGCAUGGAGUGAGUUUUGACAGCACAGUUGUGUUGUCGACUCGUUCCGUAGUUCUGUAGUGCAGUCCGGGGCCCAGUUUUGCUGUAUUUUCUUAUAAUAUGUAACCCUCAAUACCAGUGACCCAUAUGCUAGUGUUACAAAAAUUACUUUAAGGAAAAUCAACAAGUAAGUAUUGGCGUUAUUAAGCGAAGCAUAAUAUUUGAGAGCAUGAUUAUGUAUAUGGUAUGUGUGGGUAGUAUGCUAACCCUUAAUGUAUGGGAAGACCCGUUCUCUAGAGUAAUGUUUAGAGUAAUGUCUUUCACAAAGGAAAUUAUGUAUUCUAAGGAAGUAUGUUCAAAAAGGGUAUUAGGAUAUAAGGAAGAUAAAAAUUCAACUAGAUAAAGGAAUGUUUCGUGACUACAUAUAGAGAUACUUCAUGAGGUAAGCCAUCCACCGUACUACCUUGCAUUCUGUGUGCUCAUUAGUUGGUGUACUAAAACUCGAACGGAAACGAUGCUUAAUAUAUUUGUCAGGUAAUGUAUCUGUAUACAAAUAUGAUGUGUACCGCAUAGAGUUUUUCCAUGAGAGAUCAGAGUACUGUCGCAUAUAUUGGGAUGAGUAGAGAGAAGUAUAGUUAACGGGACCAUCAACCGGGUUAUUGGGAGAUCGUAUGCGAUAUUCAGAGACUUAAUGAAGGUAUUCAAGUGUUAGUGACCUAAGACAGAGUUGUACAAAUAAGUGGAUUAAGGAACUUACUAACAAAUGUCAGAUGUAUUGGCGUGUUUGGUUUUGUUUUUCUCUAUCUCCGAGGUGUAUGAGCCACCACACAAAUCAUAACCAAGAAAAUGUGUUAUGGAAAUUAUUCAGCUUGAGGAAUUGAAGAUUUUCUGAUUUUGGAAAAGCACUCAUUUAUCUAUCAACCCAAGUUAGAUAUUUUUGAAUGAUAUGUCGUCAAGACCAAGAUUAGGAACGUCAUUUAAGAAUAUUCACCGAAAUUUGAAUAUCUCUCUAAAGACUUGAGGAAAGAUAUGAAUGACACAGGGUCGUCACGCAAGUUACACAAGUAAGAGGCAGAUACCUUUAGAACUCGGUAAAGGAGGACAUGUGUUCCUGUGGUUACACUUUUAGUUGGGAAUUUCGAAAAGUUUCAGGAUUAAUAAAUUAUGUUGAAGAUAUUCAGACAAUUUUAGAUACUCAGGCAUGUUGGUGCAGUGGUUUGACAGUUCGACAUGUACAAUUAUGAUAGCAGCAUGAUGUGCUUCACGUUUUCAGCUAAGAAGGUAUAUUGUGGGUCCUUUUCAAUCAGCAGAGUUAGUUGUCGUAGAACACAGGUUGGACUUGACAUUUUGCGAAAACCAGAUCGAUUAGUAAAUCAUAAUGUCAAUUCAUUCAUGAGUAAGAGAUUCUGAUAGUAAAGGUUAGCCGGAAGAAUUCACCUGAUAAUGAUAUAUGGGAGCUAGAGACAAAGACGUUAAGUAUUAACCGCAGUUGUUUUAAAGUGAUUCUAAAUUUCGAGGACGAAGUUCUUAUAAAGGGGUAGGAUGUAAUAUCCCGUGUUGAUAUUGGCUUCAAAUUUGUGGUCUGGAAGAACAGAGAAAUCGUGACACGAUUUCAAGUGGCCGUGAGCUAGUUUGCAGGACGCCAAAUCGUGGCACGAUCUUGGAAAAUCGUGACACGAUUCAGAAACUUGCUCGUUAAGUAUCACUGAUAAGGACUUGUCAACCUUGGGUCCGUUGCAGAUCGUGACACGAUCUAGGGAAAUCGUGGCACGAUUUCUUCAGGGGAAGACUAGUAUAUAUUGUGUUCUUGUGCUUUUUUGGAGAAAGAGAACUUAAGAGAGCUUGUAUGAGCUUUGAGAGAGAACUUGGAUAACAAAGGAGGGAACCAAUGGGUUGAGUGUCUUUGUUGAGAGUGUCUCUUGGGUUGGGAAAAACAUUGUAAUCACCUUGGGUUUUAGGGUUCAUAGUGUGAGAGUGGGAAAAUACCAAAGGGUAGAAUCUAGGGUUUGUUCAUAUGUAAAGCUUGAAGGCUAGAGUCUUGUAACCUUUUGUAACACUUUCUCAUAUUGGAUUGGAGAGCUGCUCUCUCCCCCAGAUUAGGCCAUAUUGGCUGAACUGGAUCAACAAUCUUCUCGGUGUUUUGUUCUUUCUUUUACCGCUUAUCUUGUUUUGCUUUGGUAUCUCUUUUGUGUGGUUUUGCUAUACACUAGUCUAGGGCUGUUUUGUUGUUGUUUGCUUGGAGACCAUUUGUUCUCAUUGAUUAUCACUAUCACUUGCUCCACACAUCAUUGUUUAUUUCAUUGGUGUGAAGGUUUAUUUGAAACCGGAUUCACAACAAUUGGCGCCCACCGUGGGGCAUAGGCGUUAUUGAUAGUUGGUAUCAUGGGGUCAAAGUGGGACAUCGAGAAGUUCACCGGAAGUAAUGAUUUCGGGUUGUAGAAGGUUAAGAUGCAAGCGAUUUUGACACAACAAAAGUGUGUAGAAGCAUUAAAGGGUGAAGCGGAGAUGCCGGCAACCUUGACACAAGAGGAGAAGCGUGAGAUGGUAGACAAGGCAAAGAGUGCCAUUGUCUUAUGUCUCGGAGAUAAGGUCUUAAGGGAUGUCGCGAGAGAAGCUACCGCGGCAUCGAUGUUGGCGAAGUUGGAGUCAUUGUAUAUGACGAAAUCUUUGGCUCAUAGGCAACUCUUGAAGCAACAACUCUAUUCAUUCAAGAUGAUGGAGUCUAAAUCGAUCUCGGAGCAACUUACGGAGUUUAACAAGAUUCUUGAUGAUUUGGCCAACAUUGAAGUUAACAUGGAAGAUGAGGAUAAGGCUUUGUUGUUACUUUGUUCAUUACCAAAGUCCUUUGAGCAUUUCAAGGAUACCAUCCUUUAUGGUAAGGAGGGCACUGCUACUUUGGAGGAGGUCCAAGCGGCUUUGAGAACCAAGGAAUUGACCAAGUUCAAGGACAUGAAGGUUGAUGAAGGUAGUGAAGGCUUGAAUGUUACAAGAGGGAGGAAUGAGCAUAGAGGAAAAGGCAAAGGGAAAUCAAGAUCCAAGUCUAGGUCCAAGGGCUUUGACAAAUCAAAGUAUAAAUGCUUUCUUUGUCACAAGCAAGGUCAUUUCAAGAAAGAUUGUCCGGAUAAGGGGGGCGAUGGUAGUCCUUCGGUUCAAGUUGCGGAGGCUUCAAAUGAAGAAGGUUAUGAGAGUGCGGGUGCACUAGUGGUAACAAGUUGGGAACCGGAGAAGAGCUGGGUUUUGGACUCGGGAUGCUCUUAUCACAUGUGUCCUAGAAAGGAAUAUUUUGAGACUUUGAUUCUAAAAGAAGGAGGAGUUGUUCGACUCGGAAAUAACAAAGCUUGCAAAGUCCAAGGCAUGGGCAACGUUCGUCUAAAGAUGUUUGAUGGCCGUGAAUUCCUUUUAAGGGAUGUGAGGUUUGUUCCCGAACUUAAGCGUAAUUUAAUUUCCCUAAGCAUGUUUGAUAAUCUAGGUUAUUGCACUAGAAUAGAGCAUGGGGUUUGUAAAAUUUCGCAUGGUGCAUUGAUUACGGUAAAGGGGUCUAGAAUGAAUGGUUUAUACAUUUUAGAUGGUUCCAUAGUAAUUGGUAAUGCAUCGGUAGCUAGUGUUGCAUCUCAUAAUAAUUCUGAAUUGUGGCAUUUGAGAUUGGGGCAUGUUAGUGAGAGGGGUUUAGUUGAACUAGCUAAACAAGGUUUGCUAGGGAAAGAUAAAUUGGACAAGCUAGAAUUUUGUGAGCAUUGCAUACUAGGCAAACAACAUAGGGUGAAGUUUGGGAGUGGCAUGCAUCAUUCUAGUAGGCCUUUUGAGUAUGUGCAUUCAGAUCUUUGGGGUCCUUCUAAGACUCCUACUCAUGGGGGAGGUUCCUAUUUUCUUUCUAUCAUUGAUGAUUAUUCUAGGAGAGUGUGGGUCUUUGUUUUGAAAAACAAAAGUGACACCUUUGAAAAGUUCAAAGAAUGGCACACUCUCAUAGAAAAUCAAAUGGAAACUAAACUAAAAGGUUUAAGAACUGACAAUGGUCUGGAGUUUGUUUCAGAGCAGUUUAAUGAGUUUUGCAGGUUGAAAGGAAUCAAGAGGCAUAGAACCGUACCGAGAACACCGCAACAAAAUGGUCUUGCGGAACACAUGAAUAGGACUCUUUUGGAGCGUGUGAGGUGUAUGAUUCUAGGAGCUGGGUUACCUAAGAGUCUCUGGGGUGAAGCUGUGACAAAGGCUGCUUAUUUGAUCAAUAGAUGUCCAUCAACGGGGAUAGACUUCAAGACACCUAUGGAGGUAUGGAGUGGGAAACCGGCAGAUUACUCCUCUUUGAAGGUUUUCGGAGCUUUGGCAUAUGCGCAUAUCAAGCAAGACAAGCUUGAGCCUAGAGCUUUGAAAUGUGUCUUCAUUGGUUAUCCGGAAGGUGUGAAGGGGUACAAGUUGUGGAAAUUGGAAUCUAGUGGAGGAUCAAGAGUCUUGAUUAGUAGGGAUGUUACCUUUGAUGAGACCCGUAUGGGGAUGAAGUGUAAAGACCUAAAGACUCAAGUACCGGAAACUAUGGUGGAGAAAACUCAGUUUGAGGUGGAGCUUCCAAAUGAAGAAGAAGAAGAUGUAGAAGAUGACGCUUCGACAUCGGAUACAAGUGGAACUCAACCGGUAGUGGAUCCUGAGUACCUAUUGGCUAGAGAUAGAGAAAGAAGGACCAUUACGGCUCCUAAGAGAUUCGGUUAUGCGGACUUGGUGUGUUUUGCUCUAAAUGCGGCGGAAGAUGUGCAAGACUCGAAGCCUAGAAACUUCAAGGAGGCAUUUGAGAGCAAAGAGAGCAAGUAUUGGUUGAAGGCGGUGAAUGAAGAGAUGGAUUCAUUGGAAAGGAACCAAACUUGGAAACUUGUGAAGCUACCUAAUCACCAAAGGGUAGUUGGAUGCAAGUGGAUCUUCAAGAAAAAGGAUGGCAUUCCGGGUGUUGAAGGUCCAAGGUACAAAGCAAGACUUGUGGCAAAGGGUUUCACUCAAGUGGAGGGGAUCGACUACAACGAGAUCUUUUCACCGGUGGUGAAGCAUUGUUCCAUAAGGAUACUUAUGGCUAUUGUGAAUCAAUUCAAUCUUGAGUUGGAACAAAUGGAUGUGAAGACCGCUUUCUUACAUGGUGACCUUGAAGAGACAAUCUACAUGGAGCAACCGGAAGGUUUUGUGGAGGACAAGUCUAAGGUGUGUCUUUUGAAGAAAUCUUUGUAUGGGUUGAAGCAAAGCCCUAGGCAAUGGUAUCGUCGGUUUGAUGAGUUUCUUUUGAAGACCAGUUUUGUGAGAAGCGGAUAUGAUUCUGUGUGUACAUGUUGAAGAAGAGUGAGAAAGACAUUCUCUAUCUUCUUUUAUAUGUGGAUGAUAUCUUGAUGGCAAGCUCUAGCAAGGAUGAGAUUAUGAAGCUCAAGGAGAGGUUAAAUGGUGAAUUUGAGAUGAAAGAUCUUGGUCCGACAAAGAGAGUUCUUGGAAUUGAUAUCGUGAGGAAUCGUGACAAAGGCGAACUUUUCUUAUCUCAACUUGGUUAUUUGAAGAAGGUGGUGGAGCGUUUUAGAAUGUCAAACUCUAAAACCGUGAGCACUCCCUUGGGUCACCACACAAAGUUGUCCAUACAACAAUGUCCUCAAUCCGAGGAUGAGAAGCAAUUGAUGGAAGGUACUCCCUAUGCAAGUGGGGUUGGAAGCAUCAUGUAUGGAAUGGUUUGUAGUAGGCCGGACUUAGCUUAUGCGGUUAGCAUUGUGAGUCGGUUUAUGGCAAAUCCGGGAAUUGUGCAUUGACAAGCUUUGAAGUGGGUAAUGAGGUAUUUGAAUGGGUCGUUGAAGGGCGGUUUGAAGUACAUAAGGGCAGCUCAAGAUGAAGACACUUUGGAGGGGUAUGUUGAUGCGGAUUAUGCGGGCAACGUGGACACUAGAAAAUCCUUGUCGGGUUUUGUGUUUACUCUUUAUGGCACGGCUAUUAGUUGGAAGGCAAAUCAACAAUCCGUGGUGGCAUUAUCUACAACUCAAGCGGAGUACAUCGCACUUGUUGAAGGUGUGAAGGAGGCCAUAUGGUUGAAAGGGAUGAUUGGUGAGUUAGGAAUUACUCAAGAAUGUGUGAGGAUACAUUGUGAUAGUCAAAGUGCCAUUCACUUGGCAAAUCAUCAAGUGUAUCAUGAAAGGACAAAGCACAUUGACAUUCGCCUGCACUUUGUUAGAGACAUGAUUGAAUACAAAAGAGAUUGUGGUUGAGAAAGUGGCAUCGGAGGAUAAUUCGGCGGAUGUGUUCACCAAGUCAUUGCCUAGAUCAAGAUUCAAGCAUUGCUUGGACUUGAUCAAGUUUGUCGAAGAGUAAUUCCCUUUUGGAGAGAGCAGCAUGGUGGUUGAUGGUUAAACUGACAUCACCACCAAAUUAGAAGUCAAGGUGGAGAAAUGUUGAUAUUGGCUUCAAAUUUGUGGUCUGGAAGAACAGAGAAAUCGUGACACGAUUUUGGCAUCGUGACACGAUUUCAAGUGGUCGUGAGCUAGUUUGCAGGACGCCAAAUCGUGGCACGAUCUUGGAAAAUCGUGACACGAUUCAGAAACUUGCUCGUUAAGUAUCACUGAUAAGGACUUGUCAACCUUGGGUCCGUUGCAGAUCGUGACACGAUCUAAGGAAAUCGUGGCACGAUUUCUUCAGGGGAAGACUAGUAUAUAUUGUGUUCUUGUGCUUUUUUGGAGAAAGAGAGUUUAAGAGAGCUUGUAUGAGCUUUGAGAGAGAACUUGGAUAACAAAGGAGGGAACCAAUGGGUUAAGUGUCUUUGUUGAGAGUGUCUCUUGGGUUGGGAAAAACAUUGUAAUCACUUUGGGUUUUAGGGUUCAUAGUGUGAGAGUGGGAAAAUACCAAAGGGUAGAAUCUAGGGUUUGUUCAUAUGUAAAGCUUGAAGGCUAGAGUCUUGUAACCUUUUGUAACACUUUCUCAUAUUGGAUUGGAGAGCUGCUCUCUCCCCCAAAUUAGGUCAUAUUGGCUGAACUGGGUCAACAAUCUUCUCGGUGUUUUGUUCUUUCUUUUACCGCUUAUCUUGUUUUGCUUUGAUAUCUCUUUGUGUGGUUUUGCUAUACACUAGUCUAGGGCUGUUUUGUUGUUGUAUGCUUGGAGACCAUUUGUUCUCAUUGAUUAUCACUAUCACUUGCUCCACACAUCAUUGUUUAUUUCAUUGGUGUGAAGGUUUAUUUGAAACCGGAUUCACAACAUCCCGCUUACCUGUUUCACGAUGUUUUAUUUGAUAACGUAGAUUGUACACGUUUAAGAUGGAGGGCAUUUUGGUACUUGCACGCAGAGGGUAUAUAAGUGUUUCUUGUCCCAAAUAAGCCACUUUCAAUUGUACUUUCUCUCUCUAAGUUGCAAAAUUCAGAUUUCCUCUCACUCUCUCUCUAGUGUUUCGAUCCCUCCUUCAUCUCUCCACUCAAUCUUCCCAAAGUUCUAUUUCUAGAAGGAUUAUGGUUAAAGGAUGGAUUCCACAUGAUGCAAGCCAGCUUUAGCUUGGGUCAAGCUUUAUUUACGUUGAAUCUUCAUAUCUAGAGAUUUCAUGGCUAGGGUUUGGGUUUUCAAGAUGAAGUUGGAUCAAUAUCAUGCUUUAAGAGUUGGUGAGCUUGUAAUUUGAGCAUUUAGAAGCAAUGUUAAGCAAGGGAUAAAAAUAUAGGGUUUUGUUGUUUUGAGCUUGGAGCUUAAAGGAACAUCGAAAUUGAUUAGGUGAGUUCUUAGAUAGUUUCCCUACAUUUGGGUUUGUGAGAAUUGUCCAUUGCAAGCUUGUUCAUGAAUUAGAAAAUUGGCAACUUUUGUGCCAUAGAUUGCCAAAAUCUGUUAAUGUUUGCCAUACAUUGUUUUCCUAUUGUUUUUAUGAUGUUAUGGAAGAAAUAUGUGUACUAGGAAGCUUGAAAUUGAGGUUUUUGAUGCAAAAUAUGAUUUCUGCAUUUUUAGAAAUGAUGAAACACGCUAUAAGCGAGUUAACUCGCUUAAAGUGUGUAAACACCAGAGGCUACUCGCUUGUGGCGAGUUGGGGGCGAGUUUGACAACAUUUUGAAUGUUGUCAACUCGUCCUGUGGUCCAGCAAGGGCCGUCUGAGGCCCGUUUCUUGCAGUCUUUUCCUAAACCAUGAACCCCUCAAUGACAAGUGUCUAAUGUACCUUAUUAUCUAAGUUUCUAAAAGGGAAAUACUAGUUGAGCAAAUAUUAAUCAUUGAUCGACAACAUAUGGCACACGAGAGUAAGAUAACAUUAGUUAUGUUUGGGUAGCAUAUAUCCUCUAAGCAUUAGGAAACUUGUAGAGCCUCAACUUAGAUUGUCAAGAAUAGCCAUGUUACUAAGCAACCUAAAAACAUUAGGUCAUGUAUGAACAAGAACAACUAUGUAUCUUUAAUUAUCCACGCCAGGGGGAUAUGAGCUUGAGGUAUCAAAAAAACCCUAGUUUAGUUGAACGACUUUUUCUCUUAUGUCAAUACUUUCUCUUCCUUUUCCCUUUUGGUGCACAUGUUUUCUUCUUCUCAUUUUUUUUUCUUCUUCUUAAUAUGAUUAUUUGUUUUUUUUAUUUUAAAUUUUAGAGCUUUUUAAAUUUAGAUGAAUACAUGAAUAUUUCAAUUUUUUUCUAAUUUCUAUGUGGAAAUUGAUUUAAUCUUUUUGUGUAAAACUAAGAUUUUUUUUUUAUUUUAAAUUCUUUAUUUCUCUGUUCAAUAAUUUCUUUAUAUGUGUCUUGGUUACUUCUUUUUUAUGUCAUGUAUUUAGUUCCUUCGCAAAUUAAAACGAACGACGUAAGAAUUAUGAAUUUUGUAUAGAUUAUGUAUGGAUGUUUAAAAGUUGAAGUUUUUUUUUUUUUUUUGACAAAAAAAGUUGAAAUUUUUUAUUAAUUAAAAAAAUUAUUCUUUCUACAAAAAAUAAAUAAAUUCAAAAAUUCAUAGAUACCCAUGAAUACCCAUGGAUGCCUCAACACCCACGGAUCAUCUGUAUAGUAGUAUAGUGGGUACCUAGAUGGGUACUGUGACACCCUAAAUCCCAAAAAUAAUUAUUACUAUUAUUGAUUCGAAAACAGAGUUUGAUUCGCAGCGGAAAAUGUCAAAUAAAAACUUUUCUAUUAAUAUAAGAAUUCUUCCACAAAAUUUAGGAUACCACAUUGACUCAUAAAAAAAAAACAUAAUUCACAUUUCACUUCCUUAAAAAUUUUAAUACUAUUAAAAUCAAAUAAUUUGCUUUUAAAAUACUUUCCUUUACAUCAUAGAUAAUGGUUAUCUUGUACAAAACUAAAUAAGUAAGCAUAUCCUUUUUCCCCGUGUCACUAUCAGAGCGGUACUUUUCCCUAAAAUAACAGACGACACAAGACAAGUCUUCAUGGAAGGCAUGUACUUGACUCCAAGACUCAUAACCUAUAAAACUACGGUUUCGCAACCGCAAGGUCAAGCCAGCAAAUACAAACAACGAAGGGGUGAGUUUCAAGAACAUGUAAUGGCAUAAAAUAAAUGAGAAGAACACGUAAGAAAUUAAGUCAAGGUCGUGUCACAUCACAAACAAAUUAUUCAGAACCUUGAAGGAUAUACUAUAUCAUCUCAAUCCAUAUUAGUAGAAAAUAUCAUUACAGCCUAAGAACCAAAAUCUUCACAAACACAAUGUCACAAUUCAAUUCCAAACUAGUCACAACACAUAUAGUCACCAAUAACCAUCUUCAUAAGAACAUCAACAGAUAAUCACAUCAUCUCACAUAAUUACACUUAUUCACCAAAUACAAAUCAUUGUAAGUUUUAUGCAUAUGGACUCAGUCCUAAGACCUAUAUGAAUGUGGUACCACACCUACUCAUCAUUUUGCCAGAGUUUUAUUGCUGGACUUUUCUCAACAUGGUUGUCAGAGAUAUGUUACUGAACUUUUCUCAACAUAGUUGCCAGAAGUAUAUUACUGGACUUUUCUCCCGCAUAUGCAAGACAUUAUGCUCUAGACUCUAUAUGGACGCAUGAAAUUAUUUUCAACAAGUAAUUUCACGUAUACACAUCAACAAUCAUUCACAUUUAAUGCAAAACUCCCCUAACAUGCAAGAUCCUAUUGCAAAAACACAUCAUCAUCAUAGAAAACAUCCUCAUCAUGAUCAUACAUCGUCAUUCACACCACAUAUUUUAAUCAACAUCAUUAUUCUCAUCAUCAAGCAAUUUUAAGCAUCGUCAUUUGCAUCAUCAUUAUAAAGUAUAUAUCGUACAUCUCCUCUUCCAUAAAUUCGACAUCAUCAUUAUCAUCAUCAUAUACAAUAGACAUGCAUUUUAUCAUCACCAAUAUAAUUAGUAACAUCAUCCUCAUCAUUAUUAUAAAAUGAACAUCAUCAAUAUAUCUGAAUAAGGUCAAACCAAAGCUAAAUGAAAGUUAAUACUCAUAUCUACAAUUUUAAUGAAGAAACCUAAAUCCAAUUCGAUACUGAGAUGGGUGAAAAGUUGGUUUCCCUAAAACUAGACAGAGUGCACGACCGUGCUGAUCUCUGUGUAGUAUUUUGAUCAUAACUCAAGGUUUUGACGUUCUAUUGGAGUCACUCUAAAGUCGCAUGAAAACUGACAUCUAUAUCUACAACUUUUAUGUUUUCAUCGAAACCUAGUUCAGUACAUAAAAUAGUCGAAAAUUGGUUUUCCUAAGCCUCGGAAAAGAGCACGACCCUGCUGAUCUAUGUGUAGUAUUUUGAUCAUAUCUUGUGUUCUAGAUUUUGAAAUGAGGUCAUACCAACGCUAAAUUAAAGAUAACACAAAUAUCUACAACUUUCAUGAAGACACUGAAUCCUAAUUCUGAGCAGAAAAGUCCCAGUUUUUAUUUUUGUUUUCGAUUACAGAAAUCGCAGAUUUUCUGCGAUUUCACCUUAGGGGACCUUUCCUAACUUCGUUUUCGAUCCUAAACUCGCCAAACUCAACCCUAAUCUUCACUCUACGAUUAACCUAUCAUUAAAACACUAAUCAUUUGUUAACCUACCGAAUUGUUCACUCUUUUCAAGACUAAAAUUCAAUUAAAAAAAACAAAACUAGUUUUCCGCAAUUCUCAUCUUCAUCUUUUCAAUUCGUUCAUCAUCAUUCUCUCAUAAAAAUUCACAUCAUAACAGUAACAACAUUUUAAAAUUUAAGUCAACCUUCUCCUCAUAGAUUAAGAUACCCUAUAGUGCAAAGAUUCUCCCCCUUACAUCUAAUCUAUCCCCUCGUUGGCCUAAGAUACUCCUUAAGAGUGUCAUCUUCAACAUAAGCUGGAACCAUCACUACUUGUCAUCUAAAGAAUAACAUCAAUGCUUAUCCAUAUCAAAUCGACAUCUCGUUCAUCAACACUUAUCAUAUUUUCAAUCACACAUAAUCAUAUUUUCAAUCACACAUAAUCAUAUUCCAAUAGUCAUCAUAUCAUACCAAAAUUUACAUUCAAAUACAUAACAUCACAUAUAUAUCAAUCAUUAAAUAAUAAGUUAUCAAUCUAAAUAGUUGCAGCAAAUCAAACAUGAGCACACAAAUUUAUCCAUGACUUCAAAUACCACAUAUUCACAUAAUUUAAAUCAAGCAACACCUUAAUAAUGUUUCUAAUUAUUCUUUUAACCUCCCACAUCUAAAUUUGCACAUUAAUUAAUUAUCCUCUCAAAGGACUACAUCCGUCGUGGUGAGCCCCGAAUGAACUUUGAAAAAUACGACUUUCCCGUUCUUCUCAAUUAAUUUACACUCAUGAUCUCGAACUCUUCUCUCUCACCCCAUACCUGAAUUGAAGCAUUCACAAGAGACAACGAACUCUACGGUAGGAAACAAAUUAUACCGUCCCAAUUAUGAUUGCAUCUCCUUUUUGAAAACGUAGUGGCUAAUAACCCAUAAAUUCCUCUUCUGCCUCCGCCUCGACCAUGAUCUCAUCAUUGUCUUCUUCCAACGUGGGUAUUUCAAAACUAUCCAUAGGUUUGCGUGAAACAUGAAUUGGGGUGAUGAUUGUAGCGAGUUCUUAUUGAUGGCAUGAUAGGUUUAUUGUGUGAGUCUAAAAAAAAUUGAUGUGGGUUUAUGUGAAAAGCUAUGGUUUCCUCUCCUAAGGAGUGAGUAUCGUAUCCCAUAGGAUGAAAAACUCAAUAUGACUCCAAUUGAUUAUUGAAACUAACUAAGACCUUGAAUUGGGAACAAUAGUAAAACAAUGAUACGUAACCUAUGGAAAAAGACAAGUCACCUAAUCAUAACCAUUGCCACCAACGAUCCAAGAAGAAAAUAAGAAUAACCUUGAGUCGACAAACCGAAUCGGAAAGGCAAUAUAGAAGGUUCACGGCUCUAAUUUAUUUUUAAUUUCUUCUCAUGUAUUCACUAUUAGGUUUAAGUUAAAAGCAUACAUAUAUACUGGUGGUGUUAGGAAAUUAGAGACUGACUGGGUAAUUGGAUCACAAAUAUGUAUAUGCUAUUUAGCCCUCUAUACUCACUAAUUGCUAUUAUUACUAUUAUACUAUUUUAUUUUAUUACAAAUUAUUCUCUUGCUUUCAUUAAAAUAAAUUCAAUUAUUAAGGUUUAGCUAAUAAUAAUAAUAAUUUAUCAAAAUAUUAAUGAAAUUCGUUAAUAUGAAAUUUGGGGUGUUACAAGUAUGCCGCACAUGUAUCAUAUUUAUCAAACGGGGCAGAAACGGGUAUCAUACUACCAUUCACAUUGUAAUAUAUAUACGACCAUAAGAGAUCAAUGGAAAGACAACGUCUAAAGUCAUGUUACAAUAACAAACAAAUGAUAAAUACUUUGAUGCUCAAAUGUUCAUACAUUAGUUUGCAAAUCCUCCGCCAAAGUCACCAGCAUACUUGCCUCUCAUGAUGUAUUUCGAUCCAUUCAAACGGCGACGCUCCUGUUGGGGAGGACUGGGGGAGCGCGGGGGACCGUCCACAUCGAGGCUAGAACAACCACACAAGCAAGAGACCACACUCUUACCCAAAACCUUAACGCAAUGAGUUUAUGGGUCCUCUUAUUUAUAAGGUGUUCAACCUUUACUAUUUUAUCCGAUGUGGGACAUAUAACUCACACUUGCAAAUCAACAGCUCCAACGUCUCUCCUCCUUGAUGAACUUAUCGUGGAAUUCUUGUCACGACUCCCUGUCAAAACUCUUAUGCAAUUCAAAUGUGUUUGCAAAUCAUGGAAAACCCUAAUUUCUCAUGAUCCUUCCUUUGCCAAAUGCAUCUUCAGCGAUCGCGGAACACACACCUCGCACUGGUUUCAUACCAGACCAUGUCUGAGGACGAGUCUGAUUUUAGUGUCGUACCUUUCUCAGUAAGUAAUUUGCUCGAGGCUCCGUUAAUCAUCGUACCCUUAUAACCUUACUACCUAUUGAGGAAUAUUGCCAUUCCCAACGAUCCUUACUACCUUUUGAGUAAUAUGGAUUGCAGUUUCAUGGUUGGUUCCUGCAAUGGAUUGAUCUGUUUCCGUAGUUAUUCUUACACACAUGGGCAUGAAGAAUUUUGGUUUCGUUUUUGGAACCCAACCACUAACACAUUAUCUCAAGAAUUAGGGCAUUUAACUACGUUUUUUAGGUUAACAUUUGGAUAUGAUAUUUCAAACGACACUUAUAAGGUGGUGGCCUUUUCUAUCGAUGAGGUCAAAGUUUUCAGUUUAAGUGAUAAUGUUUGGGAGAGAUAUUCCUACUUUUCCCGUUGUUCCUUUUGACCUCGAGGCUAGUCCUUGUCAUCCAAUAUUCGUGAUUGAUGGAGUGUAUGUGAGUGGCAGUAUUAACUGGUUGGCUAUUCAAAAUAAGACCGAAUAUGAUUAGAAUGAUAUUUCAAUCGACCAAUUUCUCAUUGUUUCACUUGAUCUAACUACGGAGACAUACCGUCGUUUCUUGCCACCUCAGGGAUUUGUUGAAGUACCAUCUGUUGAGCCAUCUGUUACCAUUUUGAUGGAUUGUCUAUGUUUUUCUCACCGUUUCAAAGAGACCCAUUUUGUUUUAUGGAGGAUGAUGGAAUUUGGAGUUCAAGAGUCUUGGACUCAAUUCCUCAAAAUUAGCCUUCAGGACCUUCAAAUUGAUCAAAAUUUGCACUUGUUCUUAUUUCCAUUGUACCUUUCUGAGAGUGACAACACACUUAUAAUGGCAAUCAAUCGACAAGGCUAUGAUGAUCAUAACAGCCAUGCAAUUAUCUAUAAUUGGAUAGAUAAAAGGGUUGAACAAAUUACAUCUGGUGACAAUGAAAUAUUGUGGUUUUAUACCAAGGAUUUUGUUGAAAGCUUAAUUUCAAGCUCUUGAAAGUAAGUUUCUCUUCAAUGAUUUAAUUUUUUGAAUUAAUUUUAAGUGUUUUAUAAUCAUUGAACUGAAUGAGUUUGUUUUCGGUUGUUUUUAUAUAUUAUUAUAACUUCAAGAUAGUCCUCCCAAAACGAAAUUCAACGACUCUUGAAUGAUAUUUAUUUGGUUGCUUUUCAGAACAUUUUAUCCAAAACUAAUGUAUUAAAUUGUUCACAGUUUUGGAGGAUAAAACAUUAUUUAAAAUUGAAAUGCAGGGGAAAAUUCUUAAAGCGAGAAACAUGUCAAUAGGUUGGUUACAACUAUCUUUAGACUUGAGCAAAUUUAUUAUCUAUUGAUUUAUAGAUAGAUUAGAAAAUGAAACAUCAUUUUCUCUUUAAACUGAUAUUAAUUUCAUUUAAUUCAAAACUUUGUUAUAGAUAAUGAUUGUGCUAUACUUUUUUUUUUUUUUUUGUGGUGGCCGGGAUUUAAACCCGGACCUUGCAUAUAUUAUGCAUUACUUAUACUUUGUAAUUGUAUUGUACAAACGUUCAAAACGUCUAAGCGUAGGUUUGUUAACCCACCUCUAUUCUUACUCUUGGGCGAACAGAGCUUUGGAAUGAGUACCAACUAUUUUUUAGUAGAAUAAAUUGAGUUAACCAACAAGGUUUGACUAUUUCGGUGUAGUAGAAGAGGCUAGACUCCCAUAACGUGGAGAACCAAUGUCUGAAUCUUAGCUUGAAAAAUGUAUCCACAUUUUAGUGGGAUGUACGUAGAGGGAACCUGUGGGAAACAAAAAAGAAGUUAUCCUAUUAAUACGUUUUUCAAGCACGAAAACGCUUUUGCAAAUAAUUGUAUGUGCGCGCCUACACACACUUGAUUUUGUUUUGUUUAUACUGGUUCUAGUAUAUCUAAACCAAUUUUGAACACGAUAAUUAUUUUAUUUCUCGCUUAUUUUUUUCACAAAAGAAUAUGGUUUCACUUUUAAGAAUUAUGCAAUCAUUUUGUGUUUUUGUUCUACAUUUUGUUUUUGAUGUUUCUCACACCUGUGUAAUAUGGGUCUUUCUUGAAUCAUAGGACCACAACCUCAACUUCAAGCACAUCUGGGAUUAUUGACAGUUGUUGCAGGAUGGCAGGAAGAAAGGGAAAACGAGUCUUUUUGGAUCUACAUUUUCUUCAGUUUUUGUACUCAUUUUGUAUAAGACAUUUAUGGUCCUCUUUAAAAGUGCGUUCGUAGAAAUUUACCGGAAAAUAUAUGUUGUUUUGCAACUAUACUGUUAUUUGUGUAAGGGAUAAUGGAAGUAUUUAACACUUGGUUAUUCAAGCACACAUUUUGCAUGACCAUUUGUGUAUAUUAGUAAUAUUUUUGUCGUUGCGCAACAAUACCAUGGUUUGAUGGCCUUUCUUUGGCAUUAUCUAGGAAUUUUUUCUAGGAUUUUAAUUGCUCUUGCUAUCAAGUAUUUUCACGCACUUAACUAUUUUAUCCAGUAGUGAAACCAUAGUAGAGGUGAGGUAUGCGUCAAGGUGCAGGUACGUAUAAUUACAGGGUCCUCGGCAAUUUGAUUUCUACACUUUUUCUUUUUUUCAGUUUCUUGCUUCGUGUUUUAAGCUUGGAAUGUAUGAAUUUUCACGACAAACUGGUUCUACAUGAAGGACUAAUAUAAAAGUAGUGUAUGCAUAUUGUUGCUAGUAUCUCCGUAGAUUCCUUGCGACCAGUGACAAAACCUCAAAGGCUAUUGGGCGAUUUUUAUAUCAGCAACUAUCACACUAGCCUAUGAUGAUGAUGAUGAGUGCUUGAUUUGACUCAACUCGAGGGAAGCCAAUUCGGAGGUUUAUAUUUGCUUUGUGAAUUUGUGCAGUCUCAAAUCGCAAUGCCUAUUGCCUAGGUAUGUAGCUGAUCAAUAUUACAUGCUUUAAUUUGUCUGUUAUAUCUAUAUAUAUUUUUCGUGCUCAAUAUUUGUGAGUUGCAUUUUAGUUUUGGUGGUCUCAAAUUAUACCCAUUUACUCGGAAAGGUUAAAUCGAGAAAUAAGACAAUGGGUUAGUGACACAUAAAACCCUAGCGGAAAUUUUACAACUUGGGUUUGUAUUGUAUAAACGAUCAUAUUGCUGAACGGAAUCACCUCGUUUUUACUUACCGGUGAAUAUGACUUUGGAUUGAAUACCAACUGAUUUCUAAUUGAAUAAAUUGAAUUAUAUCAUAUCACAAUUACCAUGUUAAGAACUAGGUUAUCCAUGUAGAUAUUAAGCAUAAAAAUGCUUUUGGUCAUUUAUUUAUGGCUUUCUUGAUGCUUCUUUUGGAUUUUUUGAAAGUGUUUAUAGAAAUUACCCACACUAUUUGUGUUGUUUCACAUUUGUAUUCCUAUCAGCUCUGUAACAGGGUCUCAAUCUUCAACCCACCAGAGACCACCGACCAGGCCAGCAGUGAAAUCUACGGCAGAUUCAGGAAAAGGAGGUCGUGCUGGAUGCUACUGCCAACCGUCACACCACCCAUGACCGUCGCUACAUUGAAGAAUGAGGAGGGUAGGGAGGGGUUUAUUUUUAUUUUUUAACAGUCAAAUUUAUUAAUAAUCAAGUCCCUGCACAAGACGGACAUGUACUAUCAAACAAAAACUACAAAACAAAGACGUCGUAUAACACCCACAGGAAAAACCAUAACAACUUCAAUACAUACACCAUCUAAACUAUGUGUGCCACCAACACCAAUAACAAAUCUAACAAUCAAAGCCAUAUUCAACACCUAAAUCAGAGCCAAACUCCCACCCUUCUCCGCAACUGACAUCUGAACAAAGUCCAAUGUUCUCGGUUUACUAAUAAACUAUACUAAUAAAAUGAACUUAUAAGUCAUUUUUGGUUGGGUUAAGUUCAUCACCAAACAAGUUCUUGAUGAAUUCUAGUUUCGGACAGUUAUCAUAUUUUACUUAUUUUUAAGCCAAAUACGAAUUAUGAGUGCCCCGUCUUGAUAAUCAAAUGAUUAAGACCAAACAAAUUAUUCAAUAGUUUUAAUUAAGUAAUUGUAUUUUGAAAUAUUAGCAUGUGACAUGAUAUAGAUAAAAGGGAUCCCUGACCAAAAAAAAAAAGAAUAAAAGGUAUCCUAAAUAAUGAUCCAAGCCCAAACCAUUGUCGAACCAUUACUUGACAUAAUAAUAUUUUGCAUGUGAUAUACUUGGCUUAUUGCAUGAGAUACACUUGGCUUAUUGCAUGAAUAACACUUGACUUGUUACGUGUGAUUAUUUUAAUUUCCAAUCUCAGUUUCUCCAAAUCAUGAUACCUUACCAUUUUUUUUUCUUUGUUCUUAAUAUAAUUAAAUUAAGGAAAAGCUGUCACUUGUAAUUGAAUUCAAAUAGUGGAUUCCUUUUCACAGUAUAAGUUUAAAUCACCCUAAAUAAUACAAAGGAGUCCUUAGUUUAGGAACUCGUCUUAUUCAUUCAAAUUAAAAGGUCCAAAUUUGGUAACAUUGUUUCACAACUAUUGGAAGAUACAAUAAGAGACUCAUAACCUUAAGCAUGAAUCAUAUGCUAGUACAUAUGAUUACAUGGUUUCAUAAUAAUUGAAAGGCAAACGAGGUUUAAUGAGGACUUCAAGAGGAGUAACUUUGAUGUUGGUUGUUUCCACAACAGCAGUCAUAUCAAUUGGCUCACUUGAUGUUUUCAAAACUUCAAAGGAGUGUAGAAAAUUUGCAAGAGUCAAAUACGCGGUUCGAAGGCCAAAGGAUAUUCCAGGACAAAUCCUUCUUCCACUUCCAAAUGGUAAAAACUCAAAAUGAUGACCCUUAACAUCAACAUCUUUAUGAGUUGUAAGAAAUCUCCCAGGCUUGAACUCCAAUGGAUCCGGCCAAACGCUAGGGUCAGUUUGGAUCUUCCACAAGUUCGUGAAUAGUCGAGUUCCUUUCUUCACAUGGUAGCCACCAAUGUUGCAAUCUUCUCUGAAUUCGCGAAUUCCAGAAAGAGGCGAUGCUGGAUACAACCUUAGUGUUUCUUUGACAACAGCUUGAAGGUAUACUAACUUGUUAAUAUCGGACUCGGUGAUGCAUAAUCUCUCUUUGCCAAUGUGGCGAUCAAUUUCUUCUUUAACUUUUUCCAAUGCAUGAGGAUUGUUCAAUAGUAAACACAAUGCCCAUAUGUGUGUAACACUGCUAGUGUCAGUUGCUCCCAAAACUAGUGCCUGCAAAGUUAAGUACAAAUUGUUUAACAUUUGUAUAAUUUUAUUGCACUUAUUUUUAAAUUUAAAUUUACAAUUUCAAACUUCGUGACAUGUUUAUACAUAAAUUUGACCAAGGGGUGGAUGCAGUUCGUUGGAGCGGUUCAUCUGGACUUAAGAAAAUGCACAUACAUUCCUAUAUAAUUUACGGUAUAAACUCCUUAUAUUUUUUUCGUUUUCGCACAAUUAAGAGGCACCAAAACUCAAAAGUUUGAACCCCUGGACCAGGGUUUGGAUCCGCUACUUUGACUCCAAUCAUAAUUUAUAUGGUAUCACUAUAAUGCGAUAAAGUUUGCAAUGAUUUGAAUCCAAGAUCGAAUCUGAUGGCUCACAUAAUUUAUUGAAUCAUGUGAUCAGGCUCGCCAGAAUCCAGAUCUAUUACAAUCAGAGAUCAUACAUUUGUUGUUGUCAAGUAAUCUAAACUUAAGUCAAUAUCAAAUGAAUUGAUGUUUAACUCGGUAAAUUAGUCUGACAAAUUCAAUACCGUUCUGAUAAAAUACGAAUACCAAAAGUGCAAUUAAAUAACGACACUAUCUAUGUAUAUUUGCAUGUGAUAAUACUAUAUACACAUACCAUUGUUGUGGCUUUGAUGAUAGUAUCCGAAUCAAACCCAUGAAUGUUUGUUCCGUCGAUUGUAGAAAGCAUAACAUCAAUAAAAUCAUGAUCCCCUUUACUCUUAUCAUCACCACCAUCUUCCCUUUUAUUCUUGUGCUCAUUCAACCACUCUGUCACAACAGUAUCCAACUCCUUAAAAUUCUCCUUCAUACUUUUCUCAUGUCCACCAAAAUCAAACCACCGCAAAAACGGAAUAGCAUCAGCAAUAGGAAAAACACCGAUCAAACGCAUAUAAUCCCUUAAAGCAUUCAAACACCGAUUUGCUUCUUCCUCUUUAACCAUCACACUCUCUCCAAAAUAUCUCUUCCCAGCAACCAUUCUAAGAGCAGUAUUAAAAGCCAACUCAUGAAACCACUUCUUCAUCUCCACAAGCAAAUAACCAUUUUCGUCUCUUUUAUUUUUCCAAAUACUAAAUAGCUCUUUGAUCGAAGUUUGAACUUCUGAGACACGGACAUGAGUUAAUAGAUCGAUCCGAUGGUUUGAGAGAAAACUUAGAGUAACGAUCUUCCUCAUUUCGCGCCAAAAGGGACCGUAGGGUGCAAAACCAAGCAUGGCAUGAUUAUAUGUCAUGUGCUUGAAUGCAACGAGGUUUGGACGAUAAGAUACAGCUGUAUCAUUUGUUGUGUAGCAUUCUUUUGCUGUUUCCCAGUUGUUUAUGACUAGAGUCGUUGCGGUGCCGAGUUUGAUGGUGAAAAUGGGACCAUACUUGUCUGCCAUGGCACCUAGGAGAUGAUGAGUUGCUUGAGAUUUGCUUAGGAGGGGAAGGUGGCCAAUUAUUGGCCAUGCACCAGCAACCAUUGGGGGUUGUUUGGUUUUGAUGGAUCUGGAGUGGUUGAAUAGAAUUAUGAAGAGAAAGAUUGCUGAAAGGAGGCCAAUUGCAAUUGUGUUUUGAGAGAAAUCCAUUGGGGUGUGUGAGUAUGAAGGUGAUGAUUCUAUGGAAGAUAUAAUAUGAGGGUUAAGAAGAAAAAUAAAAAGGUGAACAAAGGUAUCUCUCUUUAGUUUGAUGUUUAUCUAUAAUUCUAUUAUUCAAUAAUAUAAUAUAUUUUUAUUAAUUUUUUAAAAAUAAAACCAAAAUAUUAAUGAGUUUUGUCUAUGGAUACUGGUAUCCAACCAAAUUUUGAAGUGCAUAUAAGGCUCUGUUGGUAAAAAAAAAAAAACAAAACUAGUUUAUAGCGAAUAAAUUUAUAGAAGGUGACUUAUAAGUUAGCUUAUAAGUGAUAGUGGAUAAGCUAACUGAUUCAAUUUGUAUUGUUUGAUAAAAUUGACGAUUUAAGUAGUUUAGAAUAUGAAAUUACAUACAAAAAUGUGUAUUUAAUUAACAUUUAAUUUUUUUCAAUAAAGCUUGCAGGAGUAAAAUUGAGAUAAAAAAUGAUAAAUUAUAAACAACUUGAUUUAGCAUAUCACAACCGGCAACAAGCUCAUAAAAUAACCUAUAAACUCGAGAGAAAGUGACUGCUACUAAACGGAACAAUUUUUUUUGUCAAAUGAGCUUAAUAGACAUAAAUUAUCAGCUCAAAAAAAUGGCUUUACCAAACAUACCCUAAGACUUUACCAAUUAUAAAAUAUCAAAAUCAAUAAAAUUAUUAAGUUUUGUCACUUUAUGAACAUAUUUUUACGUAUACUUUUAUUGAAAGUUGUGAAAAAUUAAAUGCAUAUAGACAAAACAUUUAAAUGGUGGUAUAAAGGUUUGAAGAUUUUUUUAGGUCCAUCUAUAUCUCUUUAGGCCCUUGAAAUUAUGAAUUUGACCUUAUUAUCAUGCCUGGUACAUAGCAUUAUAUAACUACCGGAGAUCAGGUAUUUAACUAUUGGAUGUUCAUUUUUAAAUUUUUUUUUUUGUUAACUUUGGUAGAUAUAUAUCUGUUUGUUAGUUAUGGUAUUUAAUUCUCGAAUAUUCUUCUAAACCUUGCGAUUUUUAAGUGAUUUUUGGUGUUUUCAUCACAAUCGAUAUAAUAAAUGGUGUCAAACUUCACUCAGUUGCGAUCAAUUAAGAGGCAAACCUUACUUCUUUCUUUCACAUUCAGUUUGUUCAUAACUUUAUAUACCAAUGGUAAAAAAACAAAAAUUUAGAUUUAUCUACAUAUUUGUUAGUAUUGUAAUGCUUUUUUUUUUUUACACCAUAAUGCUUUUGUUCACACAUUCUUCUACACCAUAAUGAAUUUUUUUUUAAACUAUUUUAUUAUUUGAAUGAAUUGUUCACAGCAUAAUGAUUUUUUUUCCUACACAUUUUAUUAUAUUAAUGCAUUUGUUUACACAUUUGCUUAGUAUUUUUAUGAUUUUUUUACUAUAAUUGUUUUUUUUUAUGUACGUAUAGAUAUGGUUGAACUGGCUAUUGUUCCAACGCCUGAUCCAGAGGUCUUUUCCGUUGAUAUUGUGGAAUAUUUUAUUACGAAAGAGAAAAAGAAGUAUGAAGAUAUAGACGAAAUGAUUAACUGACUCGUUGUCAAGCAAUAAUGGCCGAAUUUAGGCAUAUAAUAGAUAGAUCCUAUAGUGAUUCCAAACGAGAAACCCGAAGCUCGUUUUAGCUUGUGAAAGAAGUGGAGACUAUAAAGGAACAAAGAAGAAGUCAAAGUGAGGAGGCGCAUGAUCAAGGGAAUGUGGGUGUCCCUUUAGGUUGCCUGGUUAAUUUAGUGCAAAAAAACUUUGGAGUCUGAAUCUUGUUUUAAGAUUGCAUGAUCAUAAGAUGGAGUCAAAGUGAGAAGAUAAUAAGUUGGCUGGUUGUUGAUAAGUGUCAGAAAGUUGUUAAACAUACAUUACAUUUUAGAUACUUUGGUUACUUGUUUUGCAAGUUAUCUAAUGAAAAGCUCAAAAAUAACGAAGAAUUGUCAGUUUAUGCUUUUUAUACCUCAUACCAACCUUUUGUGCAGGAAAAUGCUUGCCAAGAGACUUAGAAAGAAAGGAAACAUGAAGAAGCACAAAGAUAAGCUCGACAUGGUGAGUCCAUAGCGAGAACAGGGCGAGACAAGUCAGAAGAGAACCAAAUCAUGAAUCCAAGGGCGUAGCCGAGCGACCUAAAGACGAAGCCAUGGCAACAAGGCUCGCCACAGCGAGCAGGAGGCGGAAGAAAAGAGAGGAAAGUCAGAGAUCUCCAUGAAGGUAGGAAAAACACAACAAGGGGGGAUGAAUUGUGUUUCCUUUUUCUUCUUUUUAAUUAAGUUCAGAGUUCAGAGUCUGAUAGAGUUCAGAGUUCAGAGUCAAAUGCAGCAAAUAUAAAAGAUAUAUAUAUAUAUAUAUAUAUAUAUAGAGACGAGAGAGAGAGACAAACAAUUAUCAUGGUUCCUUCCACAAUUCGGAAGUAGUCCAGUCCCCCUUGCACUUCCAAGGAGAUUUUUCACUAUAAUCACACAAGAUUACAAAUGCUCAAGCCACAAGCAAGAGACUUCAAAUACUCAAGCACACAAGCAAGAGAUUUUCUAUGCUCAAGCACAAAAGCAAGAGACUUCCUAAACAAACAAAUUACAAAGAAUAAGUUUGGUUGUACACUUGAUAUACAAUCAAAGGUGUUAAAAAUACAAAACAAUUCAAACUCUAAGACUAAAGAAUUUAUAAGAUAUAAAAAUUGAUAAGAAAUUCUAAGUGUUUUGAUGCACAACAAUUUCAAAAGAGUUUUGGCACAAGUUAAAAUGUUGUAGAUGUAUGAAAGAGACGUUGUAGAGGUGCCAACACUCAAAGAGUCGUUGUAGAAGCUUGAUCAAUCAACAUUGAUUUGUUGCUUGAUAUGGUUAAUGUCUUAUGAAGGAAUAAUUUGAAAUCCAUUCCUUGAUAGGGAAUUGACUGUUCCAUUCCAAUAGAGACACAACUGUAGCUUGUACUAUGCGCAUGAAAUGUUGGAGUAGUGGAGGUAGUGGUUGUACAAUUGUAUUAUUAUCCUUCACUGUCCUUUCUCUUUGGAUAAGCAUCCAUAGCCUUUUAAUUCAUCAGAAUAUUCGUUGUUUCAGUCUUUUAUUCCUUCUGCAUAUUUGUGUCUUCAAAUAUCCAUAAUAACUAGCUCUAGGUUCUUCACUUCAGCUUCAGAUGAUCUUCAGAUUCUUGAUGAUCUUCAGACUCUAACUGUUAGCUUCUGGAUAGACUUCAGACUCUGACUUCAUCAGAUUCUGACAUGAAACUAAGCUUCUCUUCUAAAUUCCUUUCCUCUAAUUUGUUCUUCCAGAACCAAUGCUUUUCUUUAAUACAUAUAAAUUUUAGUCUAUGGUCCUUCACACUUGAACAAAUAUUAGCAUAUCCAAUUGAACUUUUAAUACCUUGUUAUCAUCAAAACUUAAGAGGCAUUGCUUAAACUCAUUUUUUCCAACACACCAUAUUUUAGAAGUUCUAUGCGUGGCCAAGCGACGCCAUGGAGAGCUUGCUCUCCACGGCGAGCCCAGAGCGACCAUGAGGAACACCAAGUCAGAGAGCCAUGAAAUCAAGAGAAUCAGGGCGUGGCCAAGUGAGCAUAGCCCUCUCCAUGGCGGUCAAAGGAGGUUUCUCGCCACUUUGCUUACAUGGAAGAAACCCAAUGCUACAUAAAGCCUCGCUCGCCUUGGCGAGCCUCCAGUCGCUAGGCGAGCAGCUACUUAUCAGAAAGAGUAUAAAAGUUGCUCCUUCAUUUCUAGCCAAAUAUAACUUGUACUUUUAGAGAGAGACAGUGACGAAUUUAAAAGAUAAACACAAAUCAAGAGUGUUAGAGGAUGGAUUCAACAAGAUUCAAUUGAGAAAUCAACAUCUUGAUAUGCAUUCCAUCCAUUUCUUCCAAUUUUGCAAGGCUACCAUGAUAAUGAGUAGUUAAAUCUCAUUUGUUGGGAUUAAAGGUAUUUGAUCAAACUCAAUAUGUAUUCUUUAUGAUCUUAGUAAUAUAUGAUUCUAGUUGUUCUUUAAUAUUGAUGUUAUCAUGUUUGAUUUAUGAUUUGAUUUGUUAUUCAAAACUACUUUUUGAAUCAAGAUAUAGGAUAAACAUCUAUUAAACCCUAAAUACUAGAAAUGGAUUUAGGUUUUUAUAUCCACAUCUAGUAUCAAGUCUUAAUGCUAUUGCAUUGUUUAAUAGACCGAGAAAUCGUCAAUUAAACAUUAUGAUUGCACUCACGACAUUUUUUAGACAUGAACAAUGUUGUCGAAUGAUACUUGGUAAUAUUGAUUGAUAGUUAUAUGCUUGAUCAAGAGAAUAUAUGCGACGUUUGGUUAAUGAAAUCUAAUCCCAACAGUUUUACGUCUUUGUUUAACUUAGUUUAUUUACCUCAUUAUAGUCCGAUUAGGAUUUCGCAACAAACAAUUUUCAAAACCCUUAACUAAGAACGAUAACCAUUGUUGAACGGCUUACGAAUAUCGUACUAGUCCCUAUGGAAACGAUAUAAAAUUAAACAUACAUACUUUUGAUACUACAUCAAUCGUUUAACUGAAAAAGUGACAGAGAUUGUCUGAGAUAUGAAAUUUUUUUGUGAUAAAACUAAAGAAAAAUAAUUGUUGGAUUUGAAAGGUAGAUGGAAAGACAAUAUGACAACUGGCAAACAAAUUUACAAUGCACGUCAUAGAUAUAAACUUAGUAUCAGAGGUUCGAGAACGACUAGUGAGUCAAAAAAAAUUAUACAAGAUAUAUUUUUUGCACAUACUAAACCUAUGAAAUUAUUUAAUACAUUUUCUACUGUAUUGGUGAUGGAUACCACUUAUAAAACCAACCAAUACAAAAUGUUGUUGUUUGAGAUUUUUUGUUUGACCUCAACUUAGAGGAUAUAUAAUGACGGGUUUCCUUUUUUAACUAGUGAGAAAGAGAAAUUUUUUACUUGGGCUCUACUAGAGUAUGUUACUCUGUUGAAGUGUAAAUAAAAUUUUGAAUACAAAGGUGAGAAAGAAAAACAAGAAGGGUGGGGGGGAUUGUCUAGGAUUUAUAUGAAAAUCUUUUUAGGAGUUUUGAAAAAAACGAUAAUCAGAGAGUAAAAGAAGAGUGACAACACAAACAAAUUAUCCUAGUUCACCUCACAAUCUAAGGUUAGUUCAAUCCCCUUGCACUUCCAAGAGACUUUUCAUAAUUAUCACACAAGAUUCUCUAACACACAAGUCAGAGACUUCCGUGCCUCACACAAGAGGACUUAUACAAUUAGAGUUUAAUAAAAGAUUUUGCAUGUUUUUACACUUUAGAACUCAAAGAGCGAAUAAUUAACUUUAAGCUUAAGAAACUUCAGACACUUAAGAAAUUUUAAGAUAAUAAGUUUGUAAGAAUUUUCAUAGUGUUUGAGUGCUUUUAAAUUUGACAGAAUGUUGGCACAUGUAUAUUAUUUGUAGUCUCUUAAUCUAUUAAAAUUGCUUAGGUUCCUAUAUAUGAGAGAAAUGAAAGAUCUAUUUUUUAAAGAUUGUCAACUCAUCAAAAUCUUCCUUCAUAAGCUUUGAUUCAGAUUUAAAAACUUUGCCUCGAUUGGGUAAUGUCGUUGAAUAGUACUAGGAGAAUCCUUUGCCUCUUAAGGAAUAAUUUGUUACAUCAUUUUUGCCAUUAAAGUUCUUUGUAUGUUUUUGCAUGUGUUCAGAAGCAGACAAACAUUACUACCAAAGCUUGAAAGCGACCUUCCAUCAUCAGAAGACAAACCUAGUAAGAGUCACCAAGACUGCUGACAUCGUCAGAGCUUGUUUCCAUCAGAGCUUAUUCUUAUCAGAGUCUUUAGAACAUCUUCUAAUCGGAGCUUUGACUUUCUGUUGAACUUUCUUCAUAUCAACAUCCAAGUUCUCAAAAGUUUCACAUGCUUUUCUUGAGUACGAUAAUGCUUUCCUUGUGCUCAGAACUUGAUGUAUCUAAACCAAAAACUUGACUUUGAAGUCAAAAUUUAAAUACAUAGUCUUGCACACUUGAACACACGUUAUAGUACCAAAUUGCUUUUCAUACAUUGUUAUCAUCAAAAUUUUAGAGACAUUGUUCUAAAACCCACUAUGGUUCAACGGAAGGUAAUUUUUGCUGAUAGGGAUACCACAUAAUGAAUGAUGUUUCCAAAAUCUUUUCAACAUCUACUACUUUAGUGUGUGAAUUUCAUAUUUUAAAGAAAGUGACAACUAGAUGCAUUUUUAUUGCAAAGUUAAAGAUUUCAAAGGGAAACAUGUGAAGUCCUCGGAUUUGGUUGACACCAUCAUGAUGAUGUUAUUGUAUUAGAACGUAAUCAACAUGUUCAUAUUCAAACACAGUUGAAUGCAAUUCAAGUAUGUUAUAAAUUUAUAAGAAAUUGUAUAUUCAACUUUAUGACAUAAGUGUAUUAUUUUAAAUUAUCAUCUCUUAAUGUCAUUUUUUUGUAGUUUGUAGGAAAGAUUCAAUAAAGCUUAUUGCAAUGUGAUGUUCUGAAACUAUAUCGUUGUCUCUGCUGAUUCAAAAGAUUUAGACAAAAGGUGCUGAAAAAGGUGCAUAAAAGGGGAACAAAUCGACUUUAGAUGAUAGUUCUACUACUCGGGGGUGUGUUGAUGCACAAUUUCUAGAUAGUCAGGCUUCACAGACAAACCCUUCAUUACAAAAAAAGAAAAGUGUGAAUGUGGAUAGUCAGGCUUCUCAGUGCUCGAUACCAACACAAUAUAUUCCUUAUAUUUAUCAUAUUCCUAAUGUUAUGAAACCUCAUAUUGAAAAUAUUGUGAAUGUGGAUGGUGAUGGUUACUGUGGUUAUCGAGUUUGUAGCUAAAAGUCUUGGAAUAAUAUUAUUACUUAUAAAUCAUAUGGAACCAUCUCUACCAUUUCAUAAUUAAUCUACAUUGUUGUGUUUUGUGAAAUCCAGUUAAUGGAUACCACUUUUAUCGACAAAUAUUGUCUACUAUCUUUUCAAACAUAUACAUCGAUUCCAAAAAAUAUUCAAAAGUAUAACAUAAAAUAUAUACAUUGUAUUAAAAAAAUAUUUAAAAUAAAAAUUAGAUGUGCUAUAUAUAUACUAUUUGAGUUAUUGAUUAUACGUCCGAAAGUUACGUAUCGAACCAUUUGGUAGAUAUUUACCUGUCGUGUUAAUCAUGAUUUUAAAUCGAACCUCUGGUAUCUAGGUAUCAGAUGCUCCGGUAGCUUUCUACCAGAAGAGAAAAUACCGAAAACAUAGUCAAUCAAUGUCAAUACUAGAGACAAUGUCAUAUUUGUGAUUGCUAUAAUUGAUAAGGGAUUGAAUUGAGAUAUUGUUAGUCUGUAAUUUCAACAUGCUUAUUUAAUGCAGUCAACAUUAGUUGACUUUUACCUUUACAAGAAUCGAAAUCUUUUCAUUCAAACUUAAGGAGAUCGACGAGAUGUAGACUUAACACGAAAGAGUCUAAAAGUCCUAAAGUUCGACAACACGUGAGUCAUUAAUGCGAGACCGUCGAAGCCAAACAAUUACUGUUAAGGGGGAAAUAUUUGGAAUUUCAAAGAGAAGCGGUUUCCUCAAGGGAAACGUGGGAGACAAGCGGUUGUCCAAAUGGAGGAAGUGUUGACCGUGGAGUUAGGCUUUUUUUCAGUUUAUUUUGCUAUGUUAAAAUAGUAGUUUUCCGUAGGGAAAAUAGGUCGCAAAUCACUUAUAGAAAUUCUACAUCACUCGAAGUACUGACACGAGAGAAAAGAGUUAUACAGAAUGUAUGUAAAGGAGUUCUCGAACCACCUUUAUUUUUAAUGCAAUGCAAUUUAUCUUUUCUUUAAGUUUCUGCACUUUUAACUUUUAGCCUUUAUUUUUCAUUUAUUGAGUUUCUUUUUAUUUUAAACAUUUUUCUGUCGAAAGACGUCUUACGGACUUGUCUUGUUCAUAAAGCAACCUAUGAACUUGAUGAACGCAAACUCUAUUUUCUUAAAGGAGAAAACUUAGGUGCAAUACCACAUGUGUUGUUGGUGUUGUUCUCCUAUUACAAUAUGACACUGUAUAUUCUUAAAUAUUUGAUGUUUAUUUUAAGCAAAAUUAUACAAUCAGUCCCUUAACUUUAUUUUAGGUAACACUUUCGUACUUUAUCUUUUUUUUGUCACGGUUUAGUCCUUUAUGUUAUAAAAUGACAAUAUCUUAUCAUUUUUUAUGAGAUUUUUUUCAAAGAAAUUUGAUUUUCUAGGCUUGUAUGAUGAAGAUUUACGUUUGCUAUUGAGUUUGAUGAUUUUUUUUUUAUUUUUUUCAAAAAAAAGGAUAACUAUGUUGUUAUUUUAUAACAAAAAGGACUAAAUCGUGACAAAAAAAAAAGAUAAAGGACGAAAGUCUUACCUAAAAUAAAGUUAAGGGACUAAUUGUGUAAUUUUGCCUUUAUUUUAUUAGGAAAUAACAGGGCUGAAAAAGAAAAAAUAAACACAAUCACAAACACAAAAAUAUAACAUGGAAACUCCAAAACCGAAGAAAAAACCACGACUGUUGUCUAAACCGACAACCAGAGAAUUAUAACUAUGUGAAAAUUUUUACACACCCCCAUGCCCCAGUACACCCACACUCUCACAAAGCAAAUAUUUAAACUAAGUCAGAUACAAGCUUAAAGUGCUACUGACUGGUACAUCUAAAAACAAAGAAACUAGAUUCAAUAAAUAGCUUUGGUCUUCCCCUUGCUUCACUAAACUAAGCGAUGUGGGACAUAAUCACCAAUAACUAAUAUUUUCUAACCUCCUUCUUUAUUCAACAAACUUGACAAUCAAACCCAACAAUCUCAACCUUGAGUGUAAGAGUUUCAUCUUCCGCUUCCAUUGUAUAUAUCGACAAUCAUACUCCACCAUAAAGAAUAUACUUCACUUGAAACUGAACCAUUCCAAGAAUUUCUUCACGUUGAAACCUUGCUGAAAGAUUAUGGUGCAACUCCCAUGUUGGCUUCCAAGAAGUUCUUCAGCAAUCGACAUAUCUCAUCACACACCCUGCAUCAAUUCCAACCAAUGCCCGUGUGUUGUUUUGAAUCUGUUAGCAAGCACUUGUCCUUUUGCAUGGUAUAGCGGAAAUACCAUAGAGACACAUUUGAUCUUCUAGAUAAAAUCACCAUCAUCUCCCAGAACAAGAUUGACAUUGCUAGCAUUUGCCUCAAAGUCUUUUUCAGAAACUGCUCCACCUAGACAAUUUCUCUUUAAAUGCCCAGACAUUCCACACUUCCAACACGGCAUAUUAUUUGCAUGGAUCUUCUUCCCAUUAGCCCCACUUCUAGUUAACAACAUUGACCUUGAUGAAGUGCUUUCAUCACUUUUCAUCCUCCUUUCUUCAUAAAUAAUUUUAGUUGCAACUUCUUCAAAACUCAAACUUUCCUUCCCAUACAUGAAAACAGGUUUGAGAUGAACAUAAGAAGGUGGAAGGGACAAAAUGAACCUUAACGCUUUAUCUUCAUCAUCAAUCUUAACUUCAAUUGAUUCUAACUCAGAAACAUUAUUAUUCUAAGUACUAAGAUGAUCAAAGAUUUUCGCACCCUCAUCCAUGCGCAAAUUGUGGAAUUGCUCCUUCAGUAACAACCGAUUUGAGAUGUCUUUUGCCUGAUAUAACCCUUUGAGCUUUUCCCAGAGUUCCUUGGCUGAUGACAGAUUCUGCACAUUCACAAGAACAUUCUUUGCCAAACACAGACGAAUUGCACUUACAGCUCUCAAAUCUAGUUCCUCCCACUUAUCUGCUUCCAUCUUGGAAGUGUUUCCUUUCAGCUACGGCUGGACAAAAAACCGAUGUUCGCCCGAAACCGAUGUGUCCGUUGAAUAAAGCAGUGCUGCAGACGGUCCAAGUUCGGAUUAUCAGGUCUACGGGUCAAGUUUCUCGGUCUUACACAGAUAGAAUAGGUCGAUAUUGGAUUUGAGAUUAUGGUCCAUCGAAACCCGUCACCCGACCGACAUUUAUAUUAUACUAGCUUCUAGUCCUACUUUUAGCAGAGUGGCAGACUGCUUUUUAAGUUUUACAGCUGUUAUUUUUUUUCAUUUUCAAUACUCUUUCUUUUCUUAUUACUAUUACUUCUUCCAUUUACAGGUCUCACUCCCACUCCACUUUCACGUUCCCAACACACUUCCCCUUCCCCUUCUUCAUCUCUCUUUUCUCUCUCACGUAAUCCUUCUGACUUCUUCUUCACCACACAAACAAAACACCAUCUCUUUGUAUUUCAAUGGAAAAAAAGAAAUUCAUGUUCCAAAAUAAAGAAAGAAGAAAGCAACAUUUCAAUUGCAACAAAUUCAUCAUCAUUUAUGUGUUCUUCCAUUCUGCCUCCAUGUCUUUUUUUUUUUUUUUUAUCGGAGUCAGAACCUAUAUGAAUCACUAAAUCAACUACCCAAAAACGAUAAAUCAUCUUUAUCCACCAUGUCUAUUAUUUUAACCUCUACCAAUCCGUUACGUUGAAGGUUGUUGUUGUAAUUUUUCUGAAAUUGUUGAAAUUUCAGAUUUCCAUUUGAAUUUUUCUUCCUUUCCAAAGUUUUGAUUUUUGACUGAUUUAGUAACCGAAAAAAUCCACCCAUCAAAACCGAUAUCCGAUCUAACCGUAAACCGGCGUAACCGUAUACACUUGCGGACGGGAAUGGGCUUAGUUUUUCCAUCCGCGAAACCGAUCGGAACCGCGAUUUCUGGCCUGAAACCGUCCGAGUCUGAUCGUUGUCCACUCUUACUUUCAGCGCCUUGUGUAAACCUGAUUGUAUCAGCACAUCCUUGACUUGUACUUUCCACAAGCCAAAGCUGAUUCUUCCAUCAAACUUUUCUAUGUCAAACUUCAUUGCACUUGAAUAAGACAUAACCAGUUGCACAGUACCACCCUUCUUCAGCACCUUCACAAUAUCACACUUCUUUUUUCUGAUGUGGAAGAUCAGACAAUGCUGCAACCACAGAGCAUACUAAGAAUUGUGAUAUCUCACGGAACCGAAGCUCUCAUACCACUGUUAGGAAAUAACAGGGCUGAAGAAGAAAAAAUAAACACAAUCACAAACACAAGAAUAUAACGUGGAAACUCCAAAAUCGGAGAAAAAACCACGACCGUUGUCUAAACCGACAACCAGAGAAUUAUCAUUUUGUGAAAAAUUUUACAACACAUAGACUUCUCUCACUCACACCCAAUGCCCCAAUACAGCCACACUCUCACAAUGCAAAUAUUUAAACUAAGUCAGAUACAAGCUUAAAGUGCUAUUGACUAGUGCAUCUAAAAACAAAAAAACUAGGUUCAAUAUAUAGCCUUGGUCUUCUCCUUGCUUCACUAAACUAAGUGAUGUUGGACAUAAUCACCAAUAACUAAUAUUUUCUAACCUCCUUGUUUAUUCAACAAACUUGACAAUCAAACCCAACAUAUUUUUGAUAUACCAAUUCAACCCACCGGCCACCGCCACAAAAAUUGGCCACUGACCGUUGCAAUAUUCUUUUUAAACUAAUAAAACACUUACAUCCUUCCACCUUCACCCUCACUUGUUGUGCAACACGGAUGGCUCCACAGGGGUUUUAACACAAAUGGUUGUUCAACUGUUUAACAAAUACAUAAAGAAACAAAGCACCAUAAUAUCACAAAUCAGGGUGGAAUCCAACAUGAAUUAACGAGGAAGAAUGUCUGGUAUGAUGGUCAAAUCGUGGUCUAGAGGAAAUAAAAUAAUGGAAUCGCCGAAAAAUACAAGUGAGAAUCAUUGGUGUGUCUUAAUCCGCGUCGGAAGCAAAAAGUAUAAACACCCAAUUUUUAAGAAUAUACACGUGUCAUGUUGUAAUAGGAGAACAUCACCAACAACACAUGUGGUAUUGCACCUAAGUUUUCUCCUUUCUUAAAAACAAAUGCACAACAUGUCCUAGAAUUUCUGGUUUGAUCGUGCUUGUAAUAAUCAAAACUAGCCCUUAUUGUUUACCAAAAACACCGGAAAAUAAAUACAAAGGGAAGAAUGUGAAAGAAACAUGCCAUUUUAUUCUGAUUAUUUUUUGUUUCACAAUAGCAUUACAAUGUUGUAUCCAAUAGAUGACACAGAAGAUCAUGAUAUCCAAAUCAUUUGUUUCUCUCAUAAAUUGAUUCAAAUAUCAAAUAGGUUCAUAACAAAGUACGAUUUCCAACUUCAUAGGUUCAUAUUCAAAGCCUAAAUUCCUAAAACACAAAAGUAAAAAAAAAAAAUUGUAGACAUCACUUAGUGCCACAUAGACUAUAUUGUCCGACAUUUCCCCCUUUAUGUCUCAAUGACAAGUACUGAGUGGCAAGUAUAGCCUGAGCUACAAUCUCCUCCAUAUCCAUGUAUAAAGGAGUACCAGCAUUCUGCUCAAUGGAGUUAAUUGUCAGGUCAUUGAUUCUGCAGGUGAUAGUUAAUGGAUCAAUACCAUGUUCCUCAUGUAAAAGAACCUCAAAAUUAGCAGGCAUCGACAGAUUAUUAGGAAUAUCACUUUGAAAAAAAGGUGAGAGACCCUAUAGAACCAUACCAAGUAUCGAUUCUAUGCCUCCCAAUGAGUCUCCACAAGUUGCCCACAAUAUUCUUCACAAAUCAGAUGUAGAAUAUAAUCCUAAAAAAGCCUAUUCCAUUUGAUAAAUGUUCAAUGUGCACAGUGGGGCAAUUUGUAAAAUUUCUAGGAAUAGUUUGAACAUAUCCAAAUUGCCUCAGCAUGCGCUCCGGAAAGUGUCGACGAAAACACGUCAUGCCACACAUUAUCCACCCUAAUAACCAAAUUAUGUCAUGGUCGUUGUUUAUCAUUGAACAACGGGCAACCAACUAGAUAGAGCAGGAAAGCACCAAUUCACCAAGUCUGAUACAAUUCCAUCACUACUUCCUCCCAAGUGGUGUAUCCUGCGAGAAUUCAACAGCUUUCCACCCUUUUUCGUCCGUUCUUCCAUCCUGUGAUGCCUUGUAACUUAAAAUCUAUUUUCUUCGCUUUCUAUUGUCUUCAAAUACCUUCUAUGAACGAUUGAAUUUCAUUCAUCAUAUCUUUCAUGUGAUGUCUUGUUUUGCCGAUUUACAUGAUUUCUAUCUGAAAAGACUCAAAACAUUUAUGAAAUUGCAUGUUUUAGAAUAAAUGUGAAUUACAAUAACUCGAAUGAAACCAAUACAAAAAAUUCCUCAAACCAAUGACAACUCCUCUAAUUAAUCUCUCAUUUGCCUUCAAAACUCUUCCAAAAACCAUCCCUAAAUGACCGUAAAAAUGCUCACUAUUAUAAUUAUUGGUUAAUAAUGUUUUACCCCCAUGUAAUAUAUGUCAUUUUUAGUUUUUCACCCUGUAAUAUUUUUUUUUAGUUUACGUCCUUGUAAUUUGAAAAUUUCCGGUCAUUUGACUGUACAAAAAUCGAUGAUAUGACAGAGGGGUAAAACGAAGUUUGCUUAAAUUAUCAAGGGGCUAAACCAAAAUUUCCUCAAAUUACAUGGUGGUAAACUGAAAUUUGCUCAAAUUACAAUGGUCGAAAUUUGCCAUGAAGAUCUAAAACCAAAAAAACUUCAAAUUAGAAAGACGGAAAAAAAAAAUUACAAAGUAGAAAAACAAAAAUAAUCUAUAUUACAACGGAUAAACACUAUUAACCCUGUAAUUUUUUUGACGUACGCUAAAAAUGUUGGACCAACUUGUGUACGACACAUAAAUUAUUGCAAUCAAUAAUUUCUGGCCAGACGCAGAAGUCUAAGAGAGAUGUUAAACUCUCAUUAAAAUGAAGUCAAAGAAAUGUUCAUCCUAAAUUCCCAACAUGCUUGUUCUUUUAUGGUAUAUCACCUAACAAUUAUGUUAAUUCUCCCUAAUUAGGACUCCAUCUUUAAGUUGCUUAUUGCCGGACCGAAUUUUUCAUUAAAAAAAUCAUUGACUUAAGAAUGUUGGCAAGUCAAAAAGCAAUCAGUACGACAAUUUUGGGUAAAAUCUCAUUACAUGGAAUAAAACAAGUUUGAUUCCUCCAUAUAUCUUAUAUUUUUAUUGAUUUUUUGGUACAAAAUUCCUCUAGUUCUCUUCUAUAACUGUAGUAGUUGUAGAACUUGACAUAUGAUCCCAUGGCCCACAUGCCAACCAUCUAAACCUACCUUUUUUUCUACACAUUUUUAAAUCUUCAAUGUUUUUAUCAUCACUUUUAAUCAUUAUUUAAGUUUUGUUUUUAAAAUACACAAGGAAACCUUCCUAAAAACAUUUGUGUAGAUAAAUUGUGUUUGACCAUUAUUUAAAAAAUAAGUAUAAUAUAUACAAAUUUUAUAUUUAUAUUUUUAUUUUUUCUAAAUUGUGUCACUAGACUAUUUUUUCUGACGAAACUAGCACCGAAUUAGUAAGAAUAUCCAAAAAAUAUAUGUCCUUAAAAUAAAAAAUCCAAAAUUUAAUUUUGAAAUAUUUAUAAUGUAUGACAAAUUAUUUGAUUUAAAAAAAAUAUGUUUUUGGAAAUCUAAAAAAGUAAAUUACUUUUUUUGGAAAGAAAAAAAAAGUAAAAUACUUGAUAAGGAAAUAUUUCAUAACAAUUAGUAUGUACCAUAUUAAAUUAAAAUGUUAAUUAUAGAAAUAAAUUAAAACUUAAUACUUUCAAUUAAUUAUUAAAUUAAGAAAAUAUAUAUUUUGUUUCAUUUAAAUAUAAACUUACUAUUUUUGUUAGAGGAAAUAACAACUUAUUAUGUUUCACACUCUUUUUGUUUGGCUAAUUUGUUUGGUCUAAUAUGUUUCCCACUAUAAAUAUAAAUAUAAUUAAUAAAAUAUGGAUACAAAUAAGAGUCAUAACUUUAUUGCGUAAAAAAAAAUACAAGACUGGUCAAUUCCUAUAAUACAACUAUUUGUAAUCCUUUUGAGAAUUAACUAUGAUGCCGUAAUUGAAUAAACUAAUUAUUGCAUAUAAAUGCACACAUCACGUUGAAUAUUUUUGCCUAUAAAUGCACACAUCUUUUCAACAUUCAUCUUACAUGAGUUCUCAACAAUUUCAUAUUUGUUUUCACUUGUUAAGAGUCCAAAUUCUUAGAUCAAUCAUCAUGUUUCGUUUUCUCUUAUUUGCUUUUAUCUUUGUGGGUUUGAAACAAGAUGGUGCUAAUGCUCAAAUUUACAAAAGAGUGGGAAAUAAGCUCUUACCAUAUUCAACAAUCAUUGUAGAUCCAUUGGGAAAUGGGAACUUCACAACAAUUAAAUCUGCUAUUGAAUCAAUUCCUUUGAACAAUAAACAUUGGGUUGCCAUUAGGGUGAAGGCAGGUACCUACAGGUAAAAUUUCAAUUCUCUUUCAUUAACUAGUACAAAAUAUAUGCACCAACAUGAUUAAUUUUUUAUUUUUUUUUUAAAGAAAAUCACUAAUAUGCAAUGCAUCCCAAACUUCAAUAUUUUUUUUAAUAAUUAAUAAAUAGUUUAUUUUUUCAUUAGUUUUUAUUUUAUCAUUAACACAGAUCCCAUGGGACAUGCCAAACCAACAACACUUUGUUUUUAUUGGGGAAAAAGGGACCUAAGCCCGAGAAAAGAGAAAACUAGACACUCUAGGGGUUGUUAUACCCAUAACAUCAGCUAACAUCAAAUAACUUAGCUUAGUUAGACACUGCACAUACACACGCAACCCAGUCGCAUGCUCACAAUCUAUAUAUGUUCGCAAGAAUGUCAACACACAAGUUCGUUUCUUUGUCCACACUUUGUUUGGUUUAAUUGUUUUUGAUUAUUUUUUUGUCUCUUGACAUUCAUUCAAUGCUUUAAUGUUUGAGAAACUAACCGUGAACAAAUUUUUUUCUUCUUAAAGUAUUGUAUGUUUUGAAAAUGAUUUUUUAGAAGAGCAAAUGAGUCAUCGUUUGUGUUUUAUUGGUGCAUUAUUGUAGUCAAAAGAACUAUUAUUCUUUGUGGAAUUGAGGGUGUGGUUUAUAUUUGUAUAUUACUUUUGAUGCAUAAGAUAGAUGGGUUAAACAGCCUUUUACUCGUGAUUUAUACAUAAAAGAUAUAUAUGAUGUAAAAAUAACUAAUCUUUAUAUAAAAAUUAAUUCAUUUUGUUUCGUUUGAAAAUAACACUAUUGUACAAGAUUUUUAAUUUUUAAUAUUUUGAACUCUCGAUUUUAAAUGAAUUAUGAAAAAUGUUAACUUUGUGGGUAUUUCAGGGAAAAGAUAGAGAUUCCACGUGAUAAACCUUACAUCAUACUAAAGGGAGCAGGAAAGAGGAAAACCAUUGUUGAAUGGGAUGAUCAUGCACCAAUCUCACAAAGUGCUACAUUUUCCUCAAUGGCUGAUAAUGUUGUCGUCAAAUCCAUCAGUUUCAGGGUGAGAAAUAAUCUACCAAUUACUAAUUGUUUUCAUUUAGAGUGUCUAAGAAAAAUUUUCAUUUCAUUUAUGCCUUUUCUUAUGAUGACUAUUAGCUGCUUAGAUGUUUAUGUGUGACUAUGUAUCUUUAAACAUUGUCGACUGACUCUACAAACCAACAUGAGUCUUAUCAGCGUGUUUUGUCCUCGCUCGUACGUUUACUGGUAAACUUCCGAGUAGGUCACUCAUCCAAAGACUACUCCACGUCUAGCACACUUAACUGUGGAGUUCUUAUGGAAUAGAUUACCAAAAAGAAUAUGGAUCUUGUUGAUAUAGGUAGUACCAAACAAUUCUUAUAAGUCUUCCUUCAACCAUGCAGUCUCAUACCUACACGGCUUCGGGAUCCCUCUCAUUCCGGCGUGAUUCGCUUCAUCAAGAAGCUGUCGGGAGUCGCUCAUUGUCGUGCCUUGCGCACCGGCGAUCACUCCCUGCCCUCGUCAGCCGUGGGUGUUACAAUGCCGCUAUUCUAGGGUUUCUUUUAACAAGUCAAAACAAAUUAUAUCACCAUGAAACAACCAUUUUUCCUAGUGCAAGAUGUAUCGAAGAGAACGACAAAAGUUUAAAACAAGAUGAUCUGAUAAACCAACAGUAAACAAAGAUUAACAAUACCCAAACAAGUAAUAGGGCAAAACCACCAACUAAGAUAACCUAUUCCAAAAAAUUGAUUUGAGUUUGCUAUUGGUAGCGCCACUAUUGGUGUUUUAAAAAAAGAAUGAGAUAUAUGAAUGACAGAUUCUUAUUUAUUCAUCAAUAAAAUGUGGGUAAAGUCGUUGUCAAUAUAAAAAUUAAUGGAAUCAUCACGAAAUUUUGUUCCUUUUAAUAUCGUGUCCAAACUCUGAAUUAUAUGUAAAAUGAUAAGGAAUAGGAAAAUAUUGUUCCAAAUUAGGAUAAUGAUAUAAUUCUGUGUUUUAUGCAUUGUUUCUCCUUAACAAGUUUGACUAAAAAGUAAAAACUGCUAUUAUUUUACCAAGUUAUUGCAUCAACACGACCAAAUUUUUUUACAAUAGUACAAGACCAUGUUAAUGCAUUUGGUCUUCGAUGUUUGGGGGAAGUAGGAAGUUCGUUAAUAUAACAAUAAUUGUCGGUUAAAGAAUAUUUUCAACGAGUGUACCAGAAAAAAUAUUUUCAACGAAAAGUCAGUCGAAUUGAUUUGACUAAAUAAAGAACUAUUUAUUUUCAACGAAUGUAUAUGAAAUCUCUCUCUAAUUCCGUCACUAAAUUUUACGACCAAGGAAUUUGUGAGGAAUUUUAUGUUUUUCGUCACAAAUUUCUCUCCCUAAUUUUGCUUUUUCUAAUAGUGCUUCUUUUUUUCUUUACAAAACAAAUUAGAACGAUUUAUUUGGUUUAAGAUUCAUAUGCAUAUAUGACCUAAAUAAUUAGCUUAGGGAAACUUCCUAGCAGAAUAAAUAAUAAAAAAAAAAAAAAAACAAAAACAAAACAAACUAACAUGCAUGUGUUGAUCUUGUUUUUUUUUUGGUUCGGGGUUUGAAUCCCCGACCUUGGAUAUAUUAUGCAUUGUUCAUACCAACUGAGUUAAGUUUAUAAGAACAUGCAUGUGUUGAUUUAUUAGGGUUUUAACACUUGUAGAUUGUGCAAUAUUUCUUAAAUCAAUUUAUGAUGUGUAAUUUUCUUAUAUAUAAUAAUACAUUGAAAACAAUUUAUAUUGUAACAUAGAUGAGGUAAUAUUUUGCUUAUUUAUGUGGAGCAGAAUACAUACAAGAAUCCGAUAAAGAACCAUACCCACAUAGCUGCAGUAGCUGCAAUGAUAAGUGGAGAUAAGACUUAUUUUUUUAGGGUUGGUUUCUUUGGUUAUCAAGACACUUUGUGGGACAACAAUGGAAGACACUACUACAAGCUUUGUACCAUACAAGGUGCUAUAGAUUUUAUCUUUGGUGCAGGCCAGUCUUUGUUCGAGGUAAACAAAUUCUCUUCUUUUUUUUUUUUUUUCUAAUAGCAAAAGAGAAAUUUUAUUGAAUAGUAGAUGAGACAAAGUAGAAGGGUACUAAUUAAGUCCUUCCUUGUAACGAUCACACACAAAAUAGUUAACAAACUCAAUUACAAUUAAUGAAUGUAACAACUCACUUGUUUUCAUUCUCUUAGAAAAGAAAAAAAAAAAUACUCACGUGUUUUUAUAUUUAUUAAUUGAUGUAAUAACACAUCAUUAUAUUUAUGUGGAAAAUAAUUGUAUAUUGAAAAAAUUUUGAAUGUCAAAUUCUGAUGCAAUUGUUAUCAUGAAUGCACAAAGUCUUAAUUAGAUAUUGAGUUUGCUAACGAGUGUUCUAAAAAUAUUGUUUCAGUAUUUUAUUAGAGAAAGUUCUGUCUUCGAAAUACAAACUAUUAUUUUUGUUAAUGUAAUGAUUACAUAACUUUUUAUUAUAAAUUUCUCCUUUUAAUACUUUAACCAAUACACUAAGUGCACUCACUCGUUAGCAUUCUCCUUAAAUAUUUUAUAUAUUGUAGAAUCAUGUUUUAGUGUAUUUGUUCAUUGAAUUUUGUAGAGGUGUUCUAUAUCUGUUAUUGGUGGUGGUUAUAUAACAGCACAAGGUAGAACGAAUGCAAAUGAUGAAAGUGGGUUUGUUUUCAAAGAUUGUCAUAUCUUUGGUAAUGCAAGGGCUUAUUUGGGAAGGCCUUGGAGACGUUAUGCUAGAGUCUUAUUUUACAAAACAAAUAUGACCAAAAUUGUAGCACCUAGAGGUUGGAAUCCAUGGAGUUUUGAUGGUGAAGAGUAAGUUCCUCUUUUUACCAAUGUUCUUUUCUUUAAAUUGUUAUGAGAUUACAUUGAUCCAUGCUAAAAAAAUUACAUAGUGAUAGUUAAUUACUAUAGAACUUAGUGAAAGUUUAUUAAAUGAAAUUUAAUUUCAUGAUAAAUUUAUUUUGGGGUGAACAAAAUAUCUUUUCAUUACUACUUACUUUCCUAUGCAAAAAAAAAAAAAAAAAAACAACUUAUUUAGGUAAUGUGCAAUAAAACAUUUUCAAUCCACUUAGAAUAUGUUUGGUAAGAUUAAAGCCUUUCAUCAUCAUAAAGAAAAGUUACUUUUAUCUAGGUAAUAAAGUUGAAUAGAACAAGUUCAUAAGUCAUAACUCAACUAGUAAAAUUGGCAAAAUUGUUAGGUCAAACGUCUUGACUCGGAGUUUAAAUCUCAGCUUCUCCACUUGCAUUUGUGAGUUUUCAAUGGCUAUUGUCAUUUCACAUAUCAGCAAUUUCUUUUAAUAGGACAAGAUAUAAAAAAAUAUAAAGCACUUAUUUUUUCUACUCAAGCAAUAGAACACUUGAAUAAUUUUUUUUUUUUUGAAGAGGCUAAAAUGAAUUAUAUUAUCACAAUAAAAUGGCCUUCCUUUGACAAAAAAAAAAAAUGGCCUUCCUUACAACACUUGAAUAAAAUUAAUUACUACGAAUGCAUAUCAUUCUUAUUUACCAUUUAUUUUUCCUAAUGAUUUUGACUAAAUUUAUUUAAAACAAUUAUGAGUAUAUUGAAAUCUGUUUCUUACCCUCAAUUCUUUUAAAAACCUCUCUUGCUUAAUAUCUCUACAACUAUAUAUCUAUAAAUUGACUGGACAACAAAAUUGAUGUUAAUUCAAAUAAAUUAAAUCUUUUUUUCCUUCUUAUUUUCCCUUUAAGAUUUUCUUUUUGUUCUACUUAAAAAUUCAUAUCUUGAAAUAAAAUUUUGCAGGGAUCAAAUAACAUUCGCAGAAUAUGGCAAUUUUGGACCUGGUGCUGAUACAUCCAAGAGAGUGAAGUGGACUAAGAAAUUGGAUUUAGAAACUGUUGAAAAUAUGGCUAGUCUUAACUUCAUCAACACACCAGAAGAAUGGAUUAAUUAUCAACCGUUCUAAAACUGAUUUGAUGGUGCAUGUAACCUGUAAAGAUAUUGCUGCCAAACAAAUUUCUGUAUACUUUUAUUUUUUUAUGGAUUUCUAUGUACUAUGUUAGAUCAAUUAGACUUAUGCUGGAUAGGACCAUGUUGUGAUAUGAAUUUAACUAGUUUAUGUGACCGUUUUUCUUUUAAUUCUUUUAAUAAUCACUAUAUUUUGUUGUUGGAAUAAUAGUCAAAAUUAGUUAAAAAUAUUUUUCUGUAACUAAAGAGAUUAUAAGGCUGAGUCGCGGAAUAGGUCGUUCUCUUUAGAUCGUUCAAAAUUGUGCAAGCAGACUAUCAACCACGAUGCCCCAGGAUAAAACAGCUCAGCUACCACUGUAUCAAAGUCCUAUUGCACUAUAGGAUCUGUUCUAGAAAGACACCUUUAAAUAUGGUGCUAAAACCACUCCAAUAUGGUAUUGAUACCACUCUAUUAUGGUACUAAGACCACUCUUAUAUGGUACUAGGACCACUCUAAUAUGGUGUUUCCACCACUCUAACCUCUAACUUCUCCAAGGGCAUAAAAGAUAAAAAAAAAGAACUAUACUAUUAAGAUCAUUCAUAUAUAAUACUCUUAUUUUCAAGUGGGAAAAAUUUAACAAAUAGACUAUGUUCUUAAACCAUUUUUAAUUCCAAAGGAACAUUAUAAACCGAAUGGGUCUAUGACCUUAAGAACACUCUUUAAAUCUGAAGGGACAGAAAAAAAAGGGAAAAGAAAAAAAUAGCUCGUCAAGCCUAGCUAAAUGGGGGAGAAAAGAGAAAAAAUUUUGACAACUCAAGAGAACUUUUGGUGUGCAAAGAAGUGAGGAAUGUGAGCUCUUCUUAUAGGUGAGGAGCCAAAGAUAAGUUACAAAUCCAAUGGUUAGGAUUAGUUGACCGCCGGAAAAUUAAUAACAUGAUCUCGCCUCAUAAAUGAGCACUUAAUGUGAUAUAUGAUAUGAUAAUUUUUUUAAUUCACAUAUUAACACUUAUAGAUUUCAUGUUCAAGUUCAUCAUUUAAAAAAGUAGUUUUAACAUGCAUUAUGCAUUUGGUUUACUUCCAAAUCAUGAAUAGAAGCAAGAUCAAUUAGUACCCUUAUGAAUGUUAUCGUAGUGACUAGAGAAAAUGUGUGGAAGACAUCUAUAUUCUUUUCUUUGUCUAAAAUCCUUAGAUACAAGAUGAGCCUUGUAUUUAUCAAUAGUUCCAUUGAGUUUUAUUUUUCAAAAUCCAUUUACAACAUAUUGGUUGCAACAAAAGGUAAGUCUACCAAAUACUAGGUCUUGUUAGACUCUAGAGAAUCUAUCUCAUCUUUUGUGGCUUCUUACCAUAAGUCAGCAUUCAAGGAAGAUAACACUUCUUGAAGGCUAGUUGGAUUCUCUUCUAAUGUAUCAACCAUGUAACCAGGUCAAUACUCCUUACCAACUAGUGCUUUCUUACCUCUUCGAGGUUCUGCUACAUCUGAUUUGAUGUUCUCAUCACUGCUCCUGAUCACUUGAUUGUGGUCAGCUGCAAUGUCCCCACUAAUGCCCCACUAUUUUAUUAAUUAAAAGGGGAAUUUAAUUUCAUAAAAAUCAUUAUCUUUUGAUUAUAUGAUCACAGUAGCAUUUAGAUCAUAAAACCUAUAUGCUUUCAUGUUAAUAUCAUACUCAAUUAAUUUCAUAAAACUCAAUGAAGUGUGGAAAUUAUAUUUUUAUGCCUCUAUCAUUACGAAAUCACUUGAUUUUCUUAUUCAAUUGAUUUUCAAUUUCAGUUACAAUUUUUUUUAACUUGUCAAGCGUAUCACUUUUAUUUCUCACGAGAUAUGGUGAAAAGGGAUCACCGUAACGAAGACCGCGUUCAUGCACAAUAGUGCUUACAGAUGCUCCAUUGAUCAACAUGGAAUAAUCGACCAUCUCAAUGCAAAACAUGAUCCAACUAAACCAACGAGAGGAAAAACCCAUUUAAACCAAAAUAUCACGUAAAUUUUCCAAGUCCAGUCGAUCAUAUGCUUUGUUAAUAUCCAACUUAAGUGCAACAUCUCCACUUUUUCCUUCAUGUAAUGGACGAUCUAAAUGGCCAUCAUUGCAUUAUUGAGUGUCACGUCAUUUUUCGGAGAUCAAGGCUAUUUGAUUAGAGUUUGACUCACUUUUUAUUUCACGACUGAACAUUUAAUUUUUUUUUGAGAAAAUGGGAAAAAAAGUUCAAAACACCCAUUGAAAAGAUUUAGGGGGUUAGUUACAUAAAGGGAAGGUAUUAUCACCAUUUAUGUUCGUAGUACUUUACGAGAACCUCUUGGUUUUUAUUUUAUUUUUUGUUGUUAUAAACUUGCUUGUCUUUUUGAAAAAUAAAGAAUUAAAGUGAUUAAAAUAAAGACCUAAUUUAUCUACAUUUUUUAUGAUUUGAAAGGACAUGUCCUUUGCCUACGUACGUGAGGGAUCAAAACCUUGUAGUUUGGGAUAAAAAUUGACGUUUGAUUUGAUUUGUGUUUUUUAUUAGUUUUGAAAAAUGUUUUAAAAUGAAAGAAAAGCCAAAGUAGCAAAUGAGUAUUUGUUUGUGUUUUUUAAUAUUAAAGAAAAUGGACUCAUGAUAAAGAUUAAAUUGAUUAAACAUUUGAAUAAAGAAAAAAAAAAAUAGAUCACUUGAUUUUUUAAUCAAGAUUUAUUGUAAAAAAUGUUUUUUGUGGUUUUUGGUUAUUCACAUUGAAUUAUAUUUACAACUAACGGAGCAAGAAAAUAAAAACGUAGGUACUUUGUGGUGACGUUGGAUCACCACAAAGACCUUUAACCUAAACUAUGAAGCAUAAAAAUAAAGUAUACACCCACACACGCACACAUGAAUGAUUUACAUGAAGCCUAUAUAUACAUUCUAAAGUCUGCGAAAAAACAAAUAUGCAAGAUAAAUUUACAUUAAGCGUAAAUAUACAUUCUAAAUCCAUGUAAUAAAACAAAUGACGGAAAAUAAAUAUGUAAUAUGUGGAAUAAUAAAUAUGCAUGAGAAUUAAAAAAAUAAAAUGUUAAAGAAAAGAAAAAAUGCAUGAAGAAGAAAUUAAAAAAGAAAUGCAAAGGGGCCACCGGUUCUCAUUAUUAUGAUGGAAUCUCUUUAACUUUGGAGAGCAGCCACUGCCUUGCAAUUGGAAUGGAAUAGAACAGCUAUGGCAAACACCUGUUAAUGAUGGAAGCUUUCACUAGAAAUCAAUUCUAAGCAAAUUGAAUUUGAAAUAGAACAGCCUUGCAGCCAUAACAAUGAGAAUAAAGUAAGCAACACAUCUAACAUGUAGCAACGAAAAUUAUCGCAUGUAGCAGUACACAAAUAGAGACACAAUAGCAACCAAAAACACUCAAUUGAAAUGCUAUAGAAUACGUGUAACAGAAUUGGAAUUGAACAUAAUGAAAAUAAAUGUGUAGUAGCAAUAGAAUUUAAAUGGAAUAACAAAACAUGAAAUUGAAAUUGGACUCAUGGAUUGAACAGCAACACAACCGAUCUCAAUCAGCAACUAAUAAUAUAACAAAUGAAUUGGAAUUAAAUAAACAUAAAACAAAAAUUCUCAAGGUUCUAAAUGAUGCAAUAGCUAUCGUGAAUUAAAUAUUAAAAACAAGACAAAUUUUAUGGUACACCCAAUAUAUAUAUUGAGUGUACCGGUACACUCACUCUUUAAAUUAAUGGUUAAAUGAGUUGUUUUUUUGAAGAAAAAUAUUAUUUUCUAUCAUUUAUAUUUAUAAUAACUAAAUCUUAUUAAUCAAAAGUGGUAACGAAAUAAAAUUAUUAUUUUUUAAAUUUUUAGCACUCAAUAUUGAUUAUAUUUUACGAUAAUAUGUAAAAAAAUUACUAUGAUUCUUAUAAACAAUGAACUGAUGUUUUUUCUUAUGAAAUGAUGUUCUAUAAAAUAUAAAUAUUGAUAAAUAGUUAUUUAUUUCAUAAAAAAUAUCGUUAAUUUAUAAAAUUAUGAAAAAAGAGUACCGGUACCCCUCAUUUUGUGAGUGUACUGUAGAAGUUCCCUAAAAACAAAUGAGAUUAGAAACGUGAAUGAGUAAUAGCAACGUGAAUGAGCAAUGACAAUGGCAGCAUGAAUGCAAAGAAUAAAGAGACAAUUGAAACUCUGAAUUAAAUUGAAAAUAGUUUGGAGAACCUAAAAUAAAAAAAAUUACGGCAGACUAAGAUUUUUCUAAUAAAACUAAAAUUGAAGUAAGACUCGGUUCUCCCCUUUUCUUGAUGAAUUGGCUUUUCUUUUAUAGCAUCUUGGGUAGGGUUAGGGUUUGUUAAAGAGAAGCAACAAAAUUGCCUUGGUUUGGGGAGGAAUAAACUCUGCAGAUUGAGUGUGAUGCGUGAUAGGCUGUUUGGAAUUGAACUUGGACCAUUUGGAUAUUGUCAUUGGACAAGAUCAUACAAAAAAAAAAAAGGGGAUAAAGACUAAAAAAUAAAAUAAUAGAAAAAGGGAUAAAGACUAAAAUAAGGAUGAGAUUAAAAUAGAAAUAAAGAAAUAUAUUUUUUAAAACAAAAUUAAAGUUAAUCAAUUAACAACAAAAACUUAAAUAAAAGAUGGAAUUAAAAAAUGAAAUAAAAAAUAAAAACAAGGGCCCAACUCGAAACCAAAAAUGAGGUAUUUUAAAAUACCUCUCUGCCGAAUUUUUUACUGAAAAGUCUGAGACUCGUCGAGGUUAAAAGGGUGUAUGAAUGUAGGUCCUUAGGUCAAAAAUUGGUGUAUGACAUUGAGGAUAGAUCUACCUGGGACGAAAGUUGUUUGAUUAAUAGAAAUACACCAAUCAAGCACCUAUUAACAAGCACCUUUGCAACAAUUUCAUAAACAUUACAAAGUGCAAUAGGCCACCAAUCCUUCACGGAUACCUGAGUAUCACCUUUGGGGAUAAGAGUAAUACUAAUAGAAUUGACAUGAGGCGGGAAAACACUAUUUGCUAACCAUUAACACUAUGCUUGAUAUACUUUAUGACCACAAGUAUCCCAAAAAUGUUGAUAAAAACCUUUGAAUAAAUCCAUCCAGCCCUGGACAUUUAUUUGCUUGCAUAGAAAAAGCUGUCCGUUUGAACUCUUCUACAAUAAAAGAAGCGGUUAACAUAUCAUUAUCUUCUCUAGUGAUAGAGGCAGGAUCCAAAUUUAUAUUAUUGGCACGAGAUACUUUUGACUUUUGAAAUAACUGUAUGAAAUAGUCACGUGCAAAGUGUUUCAUACCAUCUGCAAACCGACAUUCAAAGCCAUUUCCAUCCUCUAAAUGCUCAAUUAUAUUCAACUUUCUUCUUGUAGUGGCUACCGCAUUAAAAAUAAUUUGAAUUAGGUCCCCAUCUAUAUACCGAAACAUUUUUGCUCCCUGUUUCCAAAAAACAUUAUCUUUAAUUAACAAUCCAGCCUAUGUCGUAGCAUGUUAAAAUAUCUCACAUUUGAAACAUCCACAUUUGUCGAAUAGCUUCAUGCUUGCGUGGAGACUCCACUUAAAGAGAUACAAAGCACAUUGCUUAAGUUUAUGCACAAGAGGUCGUUUACCAUAACCCUGCCAUCUUUGAGAAGAAAAUGGGCCAAACUCAGGUUCAACUAACUAAGCAUUUUCAAAGCGAAAACGACGUUGGCUACCAAUAGAAGAAGGUUGCGGCACAUGACCAAGUAAGAGUGGGUAGUGGUAAGAUAAAGUGGUAGUAAGACAUUCAAGCUUUCAUUCUUUAAUAUAUCAAAGCAACUAUCAUUAGCCAUAGCUCUAUCCAAUUUUUCCUCCACAACAUGAUUGGUGCCUAAACUUUUAAACUAUGUAAAGAAAGAGCCAUCCAUAUGAAUAUAAACAUGUCUAGCAUCCAAAACAGCUUUCCUGAAACCUUGAAUAAGCCAGGAUUGACGAUCAGGCCUUCCUUUUUUUUUUUUUUUUUUCAUCUGCCGCUAAUACAUCAUUAAAAUCACCAAUAAUACGCCAAGGAAGCUGAGAAUUAUUGGAUAAAGCUCGGAGAAAGAUUGGAUAAAUGCAGCUAAUAAAGCGCGUUGGUAGUUCGACAAUAUCCUUAGUGGUUGUGUGCCUCUGUCUAUGAGAUUGGAUAACAUUCUAAAAUUCAAAAAUCUUCCAAACAAGUUGUGCAUUAUCGCACCAAAAGAAUAGAUAAUCAUCAUCCUCUAUAUUAUCCUAGCAUAACACAUUUAUAAGUUUUUAUUUUUAUUUUUAUAAAUUGGUCAUUUAAAUCAUAAAAUAUUUACACUUUAACCUAUUUUUUAAGUUUACUUUGCUAAAAGUGUUUAUGAACUAUUUAACAUUGAGAUUAUAGGUCAGAAAGAUCUUAUGUAAAUACCAACCUAACAUUAAAUGUAUAUGUAAACAUUUGCGUUUGUUUCAAAUUAUAUUCGUAGAUUCCUGCGAUUAAAACAAUAGGAAUAUACAUACAUAUGUUUGUUACAAGUUUACUAAAUUUUAUUCCUAGGUAUAAAAUGCUCAUGGGAAUAGAAAUUUUUUCCAAAAGAAAAGGGUGGAAGUUAGGAGAUGGGAAUAAAUUCAUGAGUAAUUACCUAUUAUAAAUCCUACUUUUAUGGUUCCCAGGAAUAUUAUAAUGUUAAGCAAACAUCUUUUUUCUAAAUACCUUGGAAUAAAAUUCUCAUCUUUAUGUUCCAAUGAAUGUUAUUCCCAGGAAUAAAUUUGGUAAAAUGAAACAAACACACUCUAAGUUUAAUGAUUCUUUUUUUUUGAACAAAUCAAAAUGGAAUAUAUUGCUCAAAAGAGGAGAGAUUCACCCCACACAAGGUGUGCUAAAAGUGGUGAAUCACCCAAAGUCUGUUACAAAGUCCAGGCAUCUAUGAAAAGGAUGCCACCACCGAACAAAAAAAAAAUCAAAUUACAUGACACCCAUACAAAGGAGUGGGUGUCACCACCAAUCAUGCAAGCCAAAAGCAACACGAACAGAAUUUGCAGAUACCCAUAAAAAGGAUGUCAGCUUCACUUUG
rnacentral:lncRNA from 1 species